CAUGCAUGCAUGUCCCUUCCGUCGAUCUACUGAAGUCAGUGCUGUCUCUGUCUACUAGAAAUGUUCGGUGUGUGUUGAUCUAUCUUAUAUUACUAGUGUACUACUCCAGAUCUGUUGAUCUGCCGCUAGCUAGUUCCUUCUGUCGAUCCUACCGAAGUUCCAUGUAAUGCCCAAGAAGAUGCUGUGUGUGUCAAGUUAUCUUAGUGUGCUCUGUUGAUUUGCAUGUCUCUUAAUUAUGAUCUGUGAUCUAGUAUAUCCUACAACGUCAGGUUGAAGAUGGAUCUAGCAUUUGUGUGCAGCACAUUUGAGGCUGAGCAUCCAGUGUUUUUUCCGGUUCUUUCUUGUGUGACAUUGCGCUGUAAGCAUUAAUUUGCCCGUUUUUCUGUCUGGGUUCUUAGGAGUGUGUGGGCCAGAUGAUCUGUCUCCUUUACGAAAAAGAAACAACUCGUCUUGAUUUCUCGCCUCCAUCUUCUUUUGUUCCUCUCUUUACUGCAGGACAUGUCGUGCUCAUCAGCUUCUCCUCCCUGGAGUAGUGGUUCUAGUUUGUUAACAAUCUCUUCAUAGUUUUGGACAGAUGAGAAAGCAAGGAUUAAUUUCUUUUCUUUAUUAACAGAUCUUUGUAAUGGUUGACAGUUGACACUCGGUUAGCAUGCAAACGUUUCCGAAACUCGGUUAGAAUGUUUGCAUCACAAUAUUGCCGAUGUUUCUUCUCUGAAAAGGAGCGAUGAAGAAAGAUGAAAAGGAUGAAUACACCGUAGUCACUGGCUACUAGCACCAUGCCACUUGCCUGUUUUGGUGACAUUAAAAUAUGUUUCUUAAUUCUAAAAUCAGUGCUUCUUUUCUGAAUGUAGACUUGAGGAUUGUAGCCGUAUAUUUUUCCUGCUCAGUCAUGCACUCAGUUUCCAACAAAGGAUUUGAUCCUGUGUAUUAUUGCUCUAAUUGUUAACUUCGAAAAAUGUAUCAGAUCCAUUGAGCCUCAACCACAAACAAAACAUGAACAAGACCGAAAGGCCAUAGAUGUUUAGUGCAUCAGCAUUGACUAGAUUGCUGAUGCUAGUGCAAGUGUGAGACUGUUAGAACUAUGCCCUGGAGGCAAUAAUAAAAGUUGAUAUUGUUUUAUGGGACAUUUACAUUUGUGCCCAUAACUGGAACCAACUACUCAUAUUUGCCCCUAAUUUCGAAGCAUACCCAAAUCUAUCCCUCUGUCGUUAGUUGCCCUUAUAGAACUGCCCUUUUGCGUCGUUACCGUCCGAUCAAAGGGCUUUGACCAUCUCGAUAAAAUUAGCAGAAAAAUCUGAAAUUUUGUGGGAUCAAAGAUAGUUAGGUGCUUGUCAAUUUUCUUGAUGUUUAGACAUACCAGGAGCAUGUGGCAAUGGAAAACAAUAAAUCUGUACGACUGUGAAUAGUAAAUUCAAAGAAAAUAGCAAGAAAAUUCAAAAAGUACGAAAUUUUUUGGCAUCCAAGAUGCUCGGAUGCGCAAGGUGUGUGCAAUUUUUUUUAUCAAAUGACAUGCAAGGAGCUCUAGCAAAAAAACAAAAUAGUGUAUUUGUUCAAAGUUUUUUCCGAGCCAGAUUUUGUUUUUUUCGCGCGCUCCUACAAUGUCCAAGCACAACAAAAUUUUGCACACACCUUGUGCACCCGAGCAUCUUGGAUGCCAAAAAAAUUCAUACUUUUUUGAAUUUUCUUGCUACCUUUUGAAUUUACUGUUCACAGGCGUACUGAUUUACUGUUUUUCCUUCGCCAUGAGCUCCUAGAGUGUCCAAACAACAUGAAAAUUUGCACGCACCUUGCGCACUUGAGUACCUUCAAUCCCACAAAAUUUCAGAUUUUUUUGCUAUUUUUUCGAGACGGUCAAAGCCCUUUGCCCGGACAUUAAGGGCGCGGAAGGGCAUUUCUAUGAGGGCAACUAAUGGCAGAGGGACAAAUUUGGGCAUGCUUCGAAAUUAGGGGCAAAUCUGACUAGUGGAUUCCAGUUAGGGGCAAAAAUGUAAAUGUCCCUUGUUUUAUUUGCAUGUUCGUAAUUAAGUUUAUAUUUCAAUGCUAGAAUUGCAUUGGUUUUUGAAAGUGAGAUUUAGAGGAAAACCAAAUUUCAUGUUUAGAGAUAUAAACGCGAAACAGAGUUAGACCUCUGGACUUGCUCAUGUAUUGUUGAUGGUUCUGCUUUCAUGGCCAUGUGCAUAGUUAACGUAACGAGGAUGAAAAAAAUGAUCAGAGCAUGUUGUUAGGGUAAUAAUGAUGUUGGAUAGAUCCAUCGUAUUGUAUAACGCGAGUUCGUGUUGUCAAUAUGUUGUAUGUUACUCUAUAACUGGGUAAUUAUAAAGUUAACUUUUGGUAACGCAAGGAAGUAUGUCGUGGUACUAGAUAUGUGAAGACUUAAACUUGCCCCUCCGGCGAUCGAUAUAUACACUCUCAGACCACAUGGUAUUACACUGUCUGGCAUCUCUUGACCAUGUAUUGUGACUAAGGAAUUAGUCAUGUGCAUCCCGAAAUACGAUUACAAGGAAAGAGUACAAACCUGUAAUGAGGAUAACUACGUAUAGUGAUCAAGUAGUUGUCACAACGAUACAAUCAAAGUCUCCCCUCAUGUUUGGUAACGUAUGGAGAGGGAAAGGCAAUUGCAUGCGAUAAAAAAAGUUUUUUUUAUAAAGAUCUACAAUGUUAUGUGGGGAUUAUUGUGCGUGUCCAGAUCUCACUAAUAAUUAUUGACUAGAAGGUGUUACAAACUUGUCCAUGUAGUCUUGAACCUAUAGGGUCACACGCUUAAUGAUUAGCAACAUAUAGGAGUAAUAUGUGAUAAUCAAGAACAAGAUAGAAGGGGUCCAAAAGUAUUUUGAUAAUAUCAAAAUUGUUCCCGGAGGUCCCGAGAGCGUCCCAGUGAUAUCAUGUAGUGUCUCAGAAUGUUCUGUAAGGUGGCGAAAGCUCCAAUAUGUUCCAAAAACCUUUUGAAAAUUCUGGAAGGAUCCUAAUGCCACCUACCCCCUGCCUUGGGGGCAAGGCGGCCCAUAGGGCCCAAGUCGGCCAACCCCCCUAUUUCUUGGGGGGGCAAACCAACAAAAGGGGUGUGCUCCUACAAGGACUCCACCUCCAUAGGUCGGAUGAAACCCUCACCCCUCCACCUAUAUAUAGGUGUGGGCGCAUCAAGAGAAGUUUGGUACACGCACUCACCCCUAUGGACACAUGUACGAACACCCUACACAUAUAAGCAGCUUCAAGAUAUUGAGGGAAUAACAUCUUGAGAUUAAUGCGAGCAUUAGUGUCAAGAACAUCACUUGAACCCUUGUGGGCUGACUUCACCACCAGGAACCUAACCAUCUAAGCUAUGUCCAUUAUUACCUAUAGUAUUGUCACAAAUAAGACAUCACUGAUGAAGUACCACAACAUGAACCUGAUGCGGCGAUACAUUGCUGUGCAAUCCACAAACUCUUGUCGUUUCAGUCCUGUCACACUGUCCUGAUUGUUCCACAAACCAACACAAAUCAGAGAAUAAACUCUGGAAAUCAGAAACACGAGUGCCAUAACCAAAAAAAAAUCACCCGAGCAAUAUUUAGCAAAUCCCUUCGGUACCAUUAUUUAGAUUGGAGCUUUUCAACUCCAUUUUGAGAUUGACCACAUUUAAAUUUGGACUUAUCAGGUGAUUAACUUUGUUUUUUUUUUGCUUGAGAAACACAAUGCAGACAUAGACACUCACAUAUAUGCAUGUACAAUUAUAACCCUAUAAAGACACACACCACUGGCACUUGGGCACAUAGGUGUCAAACAUGUAGUUUGAUCCAUGGUGUGCUAGGGGUACAACCAUCCGCCUAAUCAUCCAACCACAAAAUGAUUCUCGGUAUUGGCAUAAUUAUGGGUGGGUUUGCAAACUGAAAAAAAAAAGCAUGCUCUACCUUUGUCUAAUCAAACAGCUCGCCAGCCAAAUAAAUCUGGAAUGGAGGGAUAACAACGGUCGAUCCUAUCCAUCUUUAUCCAUGAGGUUUCAUCCUGAUGAUGAUAUAGAGCAUGUGGGUAAUCUCAAAAAAAAAUCUAUAGCAUGUGAGAUUUUAUCUUUAAUGUCCUGCUACCAAAGAUUUGCCAUCGUGGAUAAUUUCCUAAUUAGCAUCCUUAUAUUAGCCACCUUUGGAAUCCAAUAAUCUUAUUCUAAAUUUGGGAGCCUGUCUUAAAACUCAUCCUUAUCUUUGAGGAGUCAUCCGGAUGAUAUCAUGAUUUGACCACGAUUUUAUAUGGCACGUUGUUAAUGCUCCAAUUGAAUUCCUUCCAUCUGCGUUAUUCGGGAAACCUGCUGCUCAGGACUACAAAUAGGAGGGAGCGAGCAAGACAUCCAUACCACACUCGUUUCUCGCAUCACAAGGUCGUUGGCCCCGUAGCACAAGCGAGUUCAUCACAAAACCAGCUGCAAAGGCUCGACGGCGAUGGCUUCCAAGAUGGUCGGCGCCCUCUUGCUGGUCCUCCUGCUGGCGCUCAACCAGAGCGACGCCCAGGUGUUGCCGACCCCCUGCUGCAACCUCAAGUGCUGUGGGUACGAUUGCUGCGGGCCCCCGGUCACAGCCACGGCACCCAUUUCGCCAUUCUCCGCCGCCCCCGAAGCAGGACCGGCCGGCCCGGUUUCGCAGCGCGUGCUCCGCAAGGUCUUCCCCGGAAACUAGCGAUGUUCAGAUGCAUGUAGCGAUGCCCCCCGUGACGUAUGAUUCCAUUGCAAGUGUGCUACUGGCACCUAGCUAGUUUCGCUGGUAUUACGUAUUAUUUUUAGCUUGUAUUCCUGAUUUGUUCUGUUCCAUCGAAACAGCAAUAUAGGAGUUUAUAUCCUGCAGUAGCAUUCCAAUUCUACAGCUAUAAUGUGUGUGCAAUGAUAAACCAUGUUCGAAACACAAAUAAUCCACCCAUCCUUCAGAAGAACAGAACGCAUAAUCCUCCAAUUAAAUCUGCCGAACCUGAAUCAGCUAUAGCUGCUCUAGUCUGGAUCAGUCCUUCAUCUCGGCUGCCUUCUCGUCUCCCAGAACAAUAUUGUUUCCUAAAAAGUAGUCAUACAUGUUCCCUUUAGGUGGACAAAAUUCAUAACCGGUUUAGCAACUGCGCCUACUAAAAAUAGCUUAGGAUAGGUUUUUACCCCUUUUUCUUGAAAAAAAUAUAUUUUUGAAUGUGGCCUCAGUGCUCAUACAACCAUAAGGCGUUUGAAUGUGGUCAAUCCCAAGGUUUCCCCAAAAAAGUUUUUGUCGAAGUGUGCAUGCGAGGUUAUAGAUUGUUUUGUCCCUAAUGUGAUUUUGUUGAUGUGUUGAUUUCCAAUCUGGAUCUACAUCGGUACGAAACAAAGGCGAAUUGUGAGCUAUUGAUUAAGGUUGCAUACUAAAUAACACUUAAAAAUGUUUCACAGCUAACCAACAUCAUUUGAAAAUUCUACACAUUUUUCUAAUCAACUUUUCAUAUAUAACAUGUCAAAAUUGAAGUUACGGUUCUUAAGUUAUUGAUACUUUUAAAAAGUAUUUGAAUCUGCCCCCAAAAUAUAAUGUUAUUUUCUAGAUGGACUAAGGGUUUAUUAAAUGAAAUAUCAGGGAGUUUUAUACAAAAAGUAAAACAUUUUCUGGUGUCACUUAAAACAGGAUUGUGGGUUUACCAUUUUCAUUGCAAAAAGCUUUUUCUUUGCGGGAUGAUAGCCAUGCACGUUCCCUUUAGAUGGCCCAAAUUUAUGGCCGGUUUAGGAACUACGCCUACUAAAAAUAGCUUAGGAUGGGUUUUAACCUUUUUUUUCUUGAAAAAAAAUAUGUUUUUGGUUCCUCAAAUUUGCCGAAAUUAUAGAUCUGGUCCGUCAAAAAAUGUAGAAACAAAACAUAUAAUUUAAAAAAGUUAAUCAUAUACUCCCUCCGUCCCAAAAUUGUUACAUCCGUAUCUAGACAAAUCUAAGACAAGAACUUUGGGACGGAGGGAGUAUAUAAGAAAGGUCAAAACUAUAUGUAAAAUGUUUUAGAUGUAUACUAAAAAUGUACAAUAUAUGAAAACAAUAGUUAUCAAAACAUAUAUCUGAAAAAAUGGUAAUCAUUUAUUUGAAAAAAUGUUAAACAUAUAUUAAAAAAUGUUUUACAUAUAACUAAAAUGUUUGAUGUAUAAAAAAUAUAUAAUAUGUACAAAAAUGUAGGCAUGUGUUUAAAAAAUAAAAAUAAUAAGAAAGAAACAAAGAAAACAGAAAAGGAAAACAAGAAAAUCGGAGAAAAAGUGCAAAAAAGAAAAGGGAGACAAGAAAAAAUUUGGGAAAAAAUGGAAAGGAACAAAGCAAAGAAAACGAAGAAACAAAUCAGUGAAAAUCGAGAAAGAAACAAAUAAAAUGGUAAACCGCAAAGUAAAAAAGAACAACAAAGAAAACCGACAAAGAAACAAAUAAAACUGGAGUAAAACAAAGAUAAAAAGUUGAAACAGUGAAAACCGAUGCAAAAGCAGUGAAAAACAACCAAAAACAAAAGCAAAGAAAAACAGUAAGGAAACAACAGAUAAACCGAGAAAACCAGUAAAGAAAACAAGAAACCAAAGCAGGGAAAAAUCGAAACAAAACAACAGCGACCAAACGAAACGCAUGACCGGGAAAACAGCAACGCCCGAAUGAAUGUACUUAGCCGACGCAUACGCGUGGGUGUUGUGGGCGAGGGGAGCUACCAUCUCGCUAUAAGUGAGAUAUAGCUUGUGCGGAAUUUUCUUACUAAACACUAGUAUUCCUCCCGACGCGUUGCGACCCUAUUCGCUGUCCAAUAGGCUUUGUAAAUAAUUAUUCUGGUUAUAAAAGCAUACGGGAAAUAGAGGAUGCUCCUUCAUCUCAAUAAAAGUGCUCAUAUGGCAGGCCCACGUGCCAAAGUGAAUUUUUGAAAUAUUCUUCUUUAUUUGAUUAAGUAGAGGGAAUCUACUGUUAUCACCCUUUGCAUGCAUGAAUUCUCUUGUGGAUAGAGUCGGGCGCACCAUAAGACUAAAAUGGGCACACGCCCCAAACAUUCAUGAUGAAAUUUGAAUGGUAGAAAACCAAAGUACUCCUUCCUUUUUAUUUACUCUGCAUAUUAGGUUUAACUAAAGUCAAACUUAAGUUUGACCAACUUUACAAAAAAAUAUACUUUUACCUUAAUGAAAAUAUAUGAUGUGAAAGUACAUUCAAUAGUGAAUCUAAUGGUAUUAAUCUGUUAUUGUAUAUGUUAAUAUUUUUUGGCCGUUUUUUCCUUACUGCUUUUCUUUGCUCGAAACUUCUAUUGCACACUGGCACUUGAUUUGUUUAUAAACUUUGUCAAAGUUUAUUAGCUUUGGUCCAUAUUAGCUUUUGUUCAACCCAGCUCGAAACUUCACUUGAACACCGGCACUUGCUUAAUUUUGCCUGCUAUGAAGUUAGAUACUGAACUAUGGCAGGAUAUUUGCACAGUUCUGUGGUAUUGAGUCUAUGAGAUUUUGCAGAUGGUGCGAUAUGGCUUCAAUCUGAACGUCCCUCCAUAUCCGUGAGAGUAGGGAAUCUCUAGCUGUGAACACUACCUGAAUCAUACCCUACGCCGCGGCAAAGGGCCUAAAACACUCGGCAAAGUCUUUGCCGAGAAUUGUUCUCGGCAAAGUCUUUGCCGAGAAUUGUUCUCGGCAAAGGCCACUCGAUGUCCCACGUCCAACGCCGAGUGGAUGCUUUGCCGAGAUCUCCUCUCGGCAAAGCUAACGAUUAGCAAACCAGCCACGUGUCCACCACCUGACUGGCGGGUCCCACUACCUAUGCCGAGCAUCAACUUUGAAGAUUAUACAAUUUCCACUUUACCACUAUUUAUAAAAAUGUAGUCAAUGUUAGAAAAGUUUGACUGUGUCAUUCUACAAAGUAUAUUCUUUCACUAUGGCGAAUAUAGGGGGAACUGCAGAAUCCUCAAGCAGGAUUUUCAUGGGAAAACCCCAGCUUUCCUCUGGUUCUGUCAUCCUCUCGAUUCCUGAUUGUGUGGGCAUGAUUCAUAACAAGAGCAUCCUUAUGUACUCCUCAAGGACGGGGAGCGUCUGCCCUUCGCCGUAGCCAAAGAGGACCCUCACCAUCCUCGCGAGGUUUAGCGAGAUCCGGGUCAUGCUGGGCGGGAAUGUCCUCCUGGAGAAGCACUCCCUGUUGAGCUCCCCCCACUCACUCUCGAUCAGCGCCAGCAUAUGCCCCUUCGCGUCGCCACCGGGGUUCUCUUUCAGGUACAACUCCUUGUAUGAUCCGUCCAGGCCAUCUUGCGCUUCGUCCUGCAUGGUGCAAGAAUGGUGAUCAUGUUAUGGUAUCUUAAACCAGUGGGGCUAAGAUUCAUUAGAAAUUCUAGGUUUCUAAUUAAGCAGGGGGGUAAUUUCAGCAGUUGGAAUCUGACCUUGGCACUGCCCAUGUCAUCCCAAAGUCUCAAGAUCUUUGACGGGCAGGAGAUUAUCGGAGGGAUACGGCCGGCCGUGAGGUUUGUAGCAUCCCUUGUUGGAUCAUGUCCUAGCAUGGAAAAGAGAUGCACAAGUGCAAGUGGUCCUCCUGUAGUGAUGACGCCGUUCGAUAGGUAGUCAUCUAGGGAAGGAACAUGAUUAGCAGACAACCAUUUCGCCUCAAGCAAAAAUGCAUCGAAAAGCAUGGCCCACUGCAAAAGAAAAAUGAAUUCACUAUUUUCAGUUGAUUAUUAUUUUCCUUUUUUUAAUAUAUUUAUACAUGAACUUAAAUAUUCUCAAAUAUUAUAUAUUGGAUAGAUACAUAUGUUGCUCGUCCAACAAACAAUUUAGUUGGUUAUCUAGACAAAUCAGGAAAUCUAAAAGAAUAAAGAUAUUCCAAGAGACAUACAUCUUUUUUGAGAUGAUCAAUAGGGUUCAGCCCAUGUUCUCUUUCAGCCAUAUCUGCGAUGUCAUUUGUGAUUGUAUAAAGAGAACUGUAGCAUGAUCUCAUGUAGCUUGGAAGUGAUGCAGCAGCUGCAAGAUCCCACCUGUAAGAAAUGCAUUUUCUAACAUGAAAUUUCGGUUACACAAUACUGACAGUUACUGUUGAUCAUAAACAGCGAGAUGAAUUUAUAGUAGCCAGAAAGGAAAAGCCUACGUUCUGAUUGCCUCGGUGAAGCGAGAAAGCUCCUCUUGUGUUGCAACAACAUCAAAGAUGUCAUCCACAAUACUGACAAUUGCAAUGAUUUUGGUUAUCUCAAUCCGGUAUCUGGAGAAGGAUUGCCCCUGGAGGAUAGUCAUGGGAAACAUGUACCAUUUAAGAAUUUGGUCACGCGUAGCUGGUAUUUCUUGAGCCAAUCCCAGGCCCAUCCACCAUCUGUCACAAUGACAUUUAGAAGUUAAAGAAGAAAUUUGUCAAUACCCCCAAAGAUAGGUAUAAAAUGGAGAAUGUUAUCUAAUGUGAAGAUGGUAAAUCAACUUGGAAGACAGAUUAGGUACUAAUUUUCAACUCAGUGGUCUUUGUGAUGGACCUGAGAAGAAACAAAUGCUCUAGCCACAUUCCUCUUCUGGGAGCUGCAGAUAAAACAUAAAGUUUGCAAGGAAUGAACUUAUAUAUGUACCUCUUAACCUCUUGCAUUUCCAUCUGAUGCUGCAACUUGUUAAGCUUGAAGUCUGCAAGUGCCAGCUCCUCCAUUGCAGUGUUCCGAGUGGGCAAGCUCUGGAGAUAGCUCAGGUGGUGUCUAGCCUUGUACUGCAUCAGGCUCACAUGGUAGGGAUGAUCCAGUGAAUGCCUCACAUAUCUUGCAAGGUUUAGGUCCAAGUGUUUAAUUGCAGAAGUGAGGUGUUUCCUUGAGAAGUCAUUUGCCUUGUAUAGUGAUGCUUCUCCCAUGUUCAAGUGUGAUAUGUCCUGCAAGCUGAGCAACCCUCUGAUGUCUUUGGUAUGAUCAACGUUGAAGUCCUCGUUUUCAUUGACAAACUUUUGAAGAACCUCAUCUACCACAUCAAGGAUAAAGGUUUUUAGGAAUAUAAACUGUGGUUGCAAUAACAGGGCGAAAAUAAAUUUUACUUUCAGACACACAAGGGGUUGAGACAAGGGGAUUCCAUGUCUCCUCUCCAAUUUAAUAUAGUGGCCGAUAUGUUGACCAUUCUUAUAGGCAGGGCCAAGCAAAACGGUCAAGUGGAUGGGCUAGUACCUUGUUUGGUCGAUGGGGGAGUCUCCAUUUUACAAUAUGCUUACAACACUAUCUGUUCAUGAAACAUGACAUUGCAAAAGCGCAAAAUAUGAAACUCAUAUUAUGUCUUCGAACAUUGUCUGGAUUAAAAAUAAAUUUUCACAAGAGCGAGUUGUUCUGCCUUGAAGGCCAAAGAAGAGCAAGACACAUAUAGACAAUUGUUUGGGUGUGAAUUAGUUUCUUUACCUUUCAGCUAUUUGUGCAUACUGAUUCAUCACCGUAAGAUAUCUAAUAAAGAAUGGAAGUGCAUUGAAGAUCGAAUUGAAAAAUAGCUUAGUUGCUGGAAGGGCAAGCUAAUGUCGUAUGGAGGUCGGCUAGUGUUGAUAAACUCAGUACUUACUAGUAUGCCGAUGUUCCUAUUAUCUUUCUUCGAGGUACCAAAAGGGGUGUGGAAGAGACUUGACUUCUUUAGAUCUCGAUUCUUCUGGCAGUCAGAUGAGGCCAAGAAGAAAUACCGUCUCGCACGAUGGGAUAUUCUAUGCCGACCCAAGGACCAGGGGGGUCUCGGUAUUGAAAACCUGGAAGUUAAGAAUAAAUGUCUUAUGAGUAAAUGGCUCUACAGGUUAGAGACAGAGCCGGAGGGUAUGUGGGCAUAGAUAUUACGCAAUAAAUAUCUACAAUCAAAAACGCUAGCCCAGGUCACCGUGAGACCAACUGACUCGCCAUUCUGGAAGGGAUUCGUGUGAACGAAAGAUUUGUUCUUUCGUAGGGUCAAAUUCGUGGUUGGCAAUGAGAUGUCAACAAGAUUUUGGGAGGAUACGUGGUUAGGGGAGACGCCACUAGCCAUACAGUACCCCACCCUAUAUAACAUUGUGCAACGUAAGGAGGAUUACAUAGGCACCAUACUUCAAUCGACUCCCUUGAAUAUUCAGUUCAGACGUGCGUUAGUUAGUGAGCGAUGGACUACCUGGAUGCACUUGGUCCGGAGAUUGAUAGAUGUUCAACUAUCCGACCAACCAGAUUCGAUGCACUGGAAGUUAGCCAGAAAUGGGGUGUUUACGGUGAAAUCUUUUUACAUGGAUCUGACUAAUUCUGGACCAAUCUUGAGAUCGUUACAUAUUUGGAAGGUUAAGGUUCCCUUGCGUAUUAAAAUAUUUAUGUGGUUCAUUCACAAACAAAUGAUCCUAACCAAAGAUAACUUAAUAAAGAGGCGGUGGGUAGGUAGUUCACGUUGUUGUUUUUGUGAUCAUGUUGAAACAAUACAACACUUAUUCAUAGAGUGCCCAUUCGCGAAAUUGCUUUGGAGAACGAUCCAUAUAGCCUUUAACAUCACUCCUCCAGUUGACAUUGAAUUGUUAGUUGGGACGUGGUUAGCUGGGGUGGAGCAUAUUACUGCGAUUGAUAUUCGGAUUGAAAUAUGUGCGCUUCUUUGGGCUAUAUGGAAUUGCAGGAAUGAUAUGAUUUUUAACAGACAACCUAAUCUAACUUUCUUGCAGGUCAUCUUCAGAGCUACUGUAUGGAUCCGUACGUGGUCCUUACUCACUCCUACGGACUUCAGGGAGCCUUUGGUUACUAGGUGCAACCAGUGGGAGAUGGUAGCACGGGCUAUAUUCAACCAGUUCAGAUGGCGGUUGCAUAACAAGAUAGGAGUCUAGGGAGCUUGUCCUUUACAUUGUCAUACCUGUUGUAAUAUUGAACAUUCGCUUCUUUUUUCCUUUUUCGCUCCGCUUGCGAGCUGUAAUACUUUUAUGACUUUGUGCUACUUCGAGACUUCUUAAUAAAAUGGCUGCAUGCAUCAUCCGAUGCGGAGGCCGGGGCCGAGCCUCCAUUUUCAAAAAAGGGCAAAAAUAAAUUUAAUUCGAUAUGUGGAUUAGUCACAACUAGCUAGAACAACUUCUGGACCCUGACAAAAAAAGCGUACUAUUCUGCAUGACAAAUUCAUGACCAAUGAAUCAAAAGCCCUCGAGAAGGUCGCAAAUCCUCAGAGUUCCCACAUCCUCUAGACCAGUCAUUCCUCUACGCAAGGUCAGUCACCACUCACCACGCACCACCACAGGAGAGUGCCAGCAAGCCAAGAUUUUAGGUGUGACAGCCAUUGCCGAGAAGGAACAUGCCCCACAUGGCAAAGUUUUUUAUCUUUUUAUAGUAAAUUAUGAUUUUGAACUAUCUUAUAAAUCUUGUACUGAAUUUGAAGACCAUGAACAGUAAAAAUGACUUGGGCCCAUGAACACCGUAAACAAAAUGAGGGAUCAUUUCUAUACUAUCGAAAAAUAUAUGAUAAGUGUACUAACCUGCUGAAAUAUCAUAUCCAUCUUCUCUCAGUAGCCUGAAGGAAAGUGUUGCAUCUAGUAGAUCAUCACUGUCAACAAGAUUCAAGCACGCAUCCAUGCCAUCAUUGAUCUCGUUUUGGAAAUAGUGGUCGAUGCAGAGGCGCUUGAGGUGAUCAAUAUCAGUCAUCACCUUCCUCUUUUCCUUAUGGUUUUGAUGCAGCAUUUCCUUAACACUCUUCAGGCCCUCCUGUUAUUCCAUGGAGAGAGAAAAAAAAUUAAAAUGCAAAAAUGGGAGAUAUGGGAGACUUUAUGUUUCACUUUGCGAGGCUAAUUCUUCUAUUCAUCAAAGGGGAAAAAACAGGCUACUUUCCUAUCUUCUCCAAGGCUUAUAGCAGCGCAGUUAGUCAGUUCUUUUCCGAGUAAUUCAGUUAGUCAGAAAUUUAAAUGGUUAGAAAAAAUAUAUCUAAUUCAAUAACAAGCCUUAAAGUCACAUUGGAGAACUGAUGGUGAUGUGAAUAAAUUUCUACCAAGAAUAAAAGCUCUCAGUUCAUCUUGGUAGUCCAGAUAAAUAGGGGGUGUCUGCUAAGUCCAGAUGAGACGUGCGGAGGCUGGUUAAGCCGGAGAAAUAGAAAAACUAGGGCGUUUGAGCGCCAGGGGUACGCGGCUAAGUUUUUUUUACCGGAGCUGGGAGCUACCUGUGGAGAAUCUACCAUUCACUUGGUUUCUCUGAGAUUCGUGCCAGCCUUUUGUGUAUAAAGUAAAAAUAAUUUGCUAUGCAAUACAGACAUUAGACAAAGGAAUACAUCUAUGCAUGUGAGAUGUGUGACAACUUUUGAUGUGACAGGACUGGGUGACUGAUGAAGAGGACGGCGCAUGGGUUCUCUGCCCCAAACAAAAUAGUUGCAUUUUAUUUCCUGGUCAUAUUUUGAAUGGUUAAUAACUAUGAACCAAAUUUCAGUAAUUGAAUUUUUUUUGUACAUUUGAAGUCAGGGUGAUAAGACCUUUAAAACAAGACCGGUCUUGAAUACAAUUUGGCUAGAUUGAAUUUUACUGUUUCAAUUAGUUUCACAUUGCAAAAAGUACGAUUUUAUUCAUUUCAAUAAACAGAGUUUACUCAUUCCAAAAAAAAUAUUUCACUACUUUGAAAAUACAGAUUUCACUCAUUUACAAAUUGAUUUCAUAUAUAUAUCAAUAAGCUGGUAUAUAAUUUUUCAGAAAUAUAAUAUUUCAAGAAACUAAUUUCAGAAAACAUAUUACGCUCACUCAAUUGAAAUACUAUAUUUCACUUGUUUCAAAAAAGUGAUUUCACUCAUUACAAAAGAUAGAUUUCACUCAUUUUAGUAGUUUCAGAAAACUACUACACUCACAAUAUACACACUGAAAUAAGCGGUUUCCCUGAUUUCACUCAUUUGAAAGUACAAUUUUUGCUUGUUUCAUUUGAAAAGAAGUGCUUGAAUUAUUUCACUCAUUUUAGAGGACCGAUUUCAGUCCUUAUAAAAGAUUGAUUUUCAAUCGUUUUGACUUAAAAUAUAUGUUUCAAUUCCUUGAAAUGAUUUAUAUCUAUGAACUUAUGAAUUUUAUUUUUUGGACUAAGUGAAAUCUAUAAAACGAGAUAUUUUUUUGAGAAUGUGAAACACCUUAUUUUUAAAUCUAGUUGAAAAAUAUUCAAUAUUGAACUUGUUCUGUAUAUCAUGUUGCAAGGAAUUUGAAUAUAUAUAAAAAAUUCAGUAAUGGAUUUUUGUGAAAGACAGUGACCAUCUAAAAUUGUAAGCAAAAAUAAAAAGAUGCAUUUGUUUGAAAGGGCAGAGAGAGGAAAGAAGUUGCAUGCAUGCGUACGGUAUGCUGACAGAAGUAGUACCUGUAGCUGACAUACUAGUGCAAAGUGGUGAAAAGAGGUGGGCCAGCCAUCUGACAUACAACAGUGUUAUACAAGAGGUGGGUUAUGAAAAUAAAAAUGCUAUACUAGAGGUGGGCCACAUAAAUGCACGAAACGCAAACAAGACGAACGAUGGAUGCAUGGUUUGCCGGUACCUCCAGGAACCGGUAAAAAGAGGUUUGCGCGGGGGUACAUCGCCCCAAAAAAUUUCUCUUGUCUCGUGCACUUAUUCUUCUACCUUCGUAUAGGGUUAGACCCAACAGCCCAAACUUCGCGUGCCCAUGGCCACGAGGAACGAGGACGGCCGCGCGUUGCUGAUGGCCAGGAGGGGGGACUCGAUAUGGAGGAGAGGGAGGGAGGACGAGGAGACCGCAUAAGGCGCUGGAUUUGAGAGAGGAGAGAUUUUGGGGAGAUGAGACGGGAGAAUGGAUUUGUGUGAUUUGGAAGAGUCGAGGAGAAAGUGAGGGGAGAACAAAGAAUAGAAACCAAGGGGGAGAUAUUUUCUUUUUCUUUUUUUUAAAUCAAGAUAUUCUCUUUCUACUGGUGAUAAGGGCAUCUUCAACGGUGAACGCUUGUUGAGGCUUUUACAUGAUAGGAAAUGUACGGGAAAUGAUUGGGAUCAGCCGACGGAUAACGACGCGUGUGAUCCACCGCCACUGUGGCCGUUAGAUCAGGUUUUAAUCAGAUGGCUAGAAGCAACGUAUUACCUAGACUAGUUUUUGCAACUAAAGUCGUUCUUGCAAUCUCCCCCGCCGCAAAAACUGUUGUGUUGUGGGAUCUGGAUCCCCUCGACAUUGGCCACCACCCGUGCACCUCGCAAGAUCCCCAUCAAGCCAACUCUGUCUCGUGCUGCUUCGACCGCCGUCAUCGACGUUCGCCACCGGCAGCAUGCCGACAAGGUCGCGGGCGUGACCGCAGCCGUUGCCGCCCACCUCCACCAUGAAUGUUGGACGUCCUGGUGCGCCCGAACUCAAGCUGCAUCCCGCCGCCCAGUGGGAGCACCAGCAUCUGUGUCCUUGGGGGGGAGUUACGUCCACCUUCGCCCCACCGUCCCGAAGGAGCACCAGCCUUUCCUUAGGUCGACAUGGUCGAUGCUCUCUACAACCAGUUUCAGCAAUAAGGUAUGUUGCAAAAAAAAACUGUAACAAGACCUAUGUUGCAAAAUAAAUAGAUUUCAACAAGACCUUUGUUCCAAAAAAAAAUGCAACAAGACAUCUGUUGCAAAAAAACUGUAACAAGACAUAUGUUGCAAAAAAUAAUCGGCAACUUGAGCUAUGUUACAAAAAUUUCCGUAACAUAACCCCAACACGACAUGUGUUGCAAUGGUAGAAGGUUAAUCUUGGGCGCUCCAGAUUUGACGGCUCGUAAGGCGGCAGAUCUUUUAAAAAGAUCCAUGGGCCGACUGUGUAGGGUGUCCAUCCCUCCAACGCCAAUAGCAAUCUAUAGAUGGCCCAUGAUUUAUGAAAAAAGAAAAAAAGAAAACAGAAGCGCUCGAUGCCUUGCGCGGCAUUGACGCAAGCGAGAUUCCCUGUCUAGGGUGGGAAUCGGGCAUAACUGCCGGGAAAUCAACCUUGGUGUCGAUCGUUAGCAUCCGCGUUGUAAAUGCCCUAGGAGGAUGGAUUUGACCCUAAAGAAAGAUGGAUUUGGAUUUGGUUCCAGAUGUUACAAAUUUCUGUUUGGAAAUUCGGGGCCGCUCCAAUAUCCGAAAUUUGAAAAGAGUUUCAGAAAACAUAAUUCAAAAGAAUAAAAUAUGACCAAAAUCCAGUAGAGUUUUUGAAAACCGUGCAUCUUUGGUAAAAUGAAUCAUGUUCAUUGGAAGGGUCAACUUUCCAAGGGGCGUGCUAUUUGGCGGGCGCCCGCCAAAUUCCAUACUCAGCGGCCAAUCAAGUUUAGAAGUGAAUUUUUUCUUCAAAAAAAGUUUAGAAGUGUUUUUUGUUUAUUAUUGAAAUAAUAAUUGACAGAAAUAAAAGUAUUUUGGUUGUUUUUCUGUGAGGAAAUUUUGGUUGGGCUUCAUAGAUUCGCUAGUAAAAUCCUUCCAAAUAACAACCGUGUAAGCGAUAGUCUGGUUGCAUACCCCUUCGCUCUUGUACGCCAGGGCACCCUAUGCGCCUCCGUCGAUCGAUCUCGUGGUCUUAGUUCCAAGGAAGCGCGGUGGAUCUCGGCAGUUGCCGGCGGGAGGGCUUUGUUUUCAGAUGGUUUUUUAGUUUUGUUAGGCUUUGUGUACUACUCGGAGAGGGGAGGCGACGGCUCUCAGAAGAUGGAAUAAGGUCCUCCCAGCCUAACCCUCAUCUGGGUGGUGUUUCUAGCAUCAUCGAAGGGCAUGUGAAGGUUUCUCUCUGGCGGAUCUCAUGGGAUUAAGUCGGUGUUUGUCUUCCUGGAUCCACGUGGAUACGAUCUUCAUUCGUUUGUGUUCAUGUGCCUGCAAGUUGGAUCCUUCUGAUCUACACAUCUCUUCAUCGGCGGCGGUUGUUGACCUAGUGCGCUGGUCCAGUGGGGCUUUAUCAUGACGACUUCCCGACUGUCUACUACAACAAGAUUUGUCUGCCUCCCAUGAGGGAGGGGCGAUGACGGCGGCAUGCCUUCGGCUUGUUCCAGUGCAUGUAGUCGUCGCUAGGUGGUCUACGAACCUGGGUGUACUUUUUACUUCUAGUACUAUGUACUACGUUAACAGUUCAUGAAUAGAUUGAAAGUUUUUCACGCAAGAAAACCGUGUAAAAAAACAAAGUAUUGCAACCAGCGGCAGCUAGUAAUUUUUCUUAUUUUAGCAUAUAUGUAGUCUCUCUGUUCACGGAUAUAAGAUGUUUGAACUUUUACUGAGUCGGGUGUAUAUAGACAUCAGGGACGGGCCCAUAGUUGUGCGGGACUGUAUGGCCCACACAGGGCCCAUAGAUUUUGGGGGGCCCAAAUUGGUAUAAGGCCUAUGUAUAUUUUCUUCCUGCCGCGUCCAAGCGGCCUGCUCGAUGCCCCCCAAACGGGAUCCAUCGCAUCCUAUCCAGAGCUGGAGUUCCUAUGCGCCGCUCGUUGCGUGAAAAAUCCCCAAAAAGUCUGCUCGAGGGAGGGAUCAAACCAGGGACCUCCUGUUGCUUAUGCGCGAGCCUAGCCAACGGGAUAGAUGAGCUUCUUCGUGUACUAUGGCGUGUGAAGCUAAUGGUAAUAUAGAUCCGAGCAUUUUGUCAAAUUCUGAAGGCGAACAUUAUUUUGGAAAUAUGUUUUUUCAAAGGGACCACUUUUCAACUUUGAGAAGAAGAAAAAAAGCUCGAACAUUUCUUGAUAAACUGAACACUUUUUUGAAAAUGGCGAACAUUAUUGAAUAUGUGAAUAAAUUCUCAUUAAAGGCGACAUUUUUUGAAACUCUGGACAAUAAUUUGGAAACACGAAUAGUUUUGGAAUCGGUCAACAAUUUUUGAAACAAGAACAUUUUUUCAAACUCAGGACAAAAUUUGAAAAUGAAAACAUUUUAUAAAAUUCGAACAUUUUUUAAAAUUUUGAACAUUUUUUUAGAAAUAUGAACAGUUUAUCAAAUCAAGAAUGUUUUUUAGAACUCUGAUAUAUUCUAAAAAGGAAAAAGGAACAGGAGAAAAUAAGCAGAAAAACGAGAAAAGAAGAUGAACAUUUUUCAAAUUCGUUAGCAUUUUUUAAAAAGUCGAACAUUUUUUGAAAUUCCCAAACAAAAUUAGAAACAGACACAUUCUUGAAAGUUACGAACAAAAUUUGAAAUAGAAACAAUUUUUGAAACAACCAAAUAAAAUUGGAAAACAUGAACAUUUUUCUCAAAUUUGCGAAUGAAUUUUGAAAGAGGAACAUUUUUUACGAACUCCUAAACAAAACUUGAAAAUAUGAACAUUUUUUGAAUUUUGUGAACAAAAUUUUAGAACUAUGAAUAUUUUGAAUUUGUGAACAAAAUUUGGUAAGUAGAAUAAAAUUUUGAAAGAAAGGAAUUUCGAUAGCAUGAGCAGUUUUUAAAAUUGAAGAAUUUUUUUGAAAAUUUAGAACCUUUUUAAAAAUCUCAAACGUUUGGAAAUUCAAACAUUUUUUCAAUACAUGAACAAUAUUUUGAAAACCGGAACACAUUUUUUAAACUUUGAACAUAUUUUUUGAUAAGCGAACAAUUUUUUUAACUUCAAAAAUUUUUGUAAAGAACGAAUAGUUUUUACAUGCAGACAAAAUUUUAAUAGUUUGAAUAUUUUUAAAAUUAUGAAAAAUGAAAAACUGAAGAGGAGGAAAAAUAAAGAAAAGAAACAGAAAGAAAAGGAUGAAAAAAGAAAACUUGUAAAGGUAGAAAAGGAAAAGAUAGAGAAGAAAUAAUAAACAGGAAAAAGGAAAAAAAAGACGAAACAGAAACAGAAAAAAAGUGUUAGGAAGCUUCUAGAAGGUUCCCAAAACCGGAAAAAACGGCUGGGAACAAGCGAGAAGGUUCCUAAAACCGGAACAUCGAAACAUUUUACAGGCCGGCCCACGCGCGAACCCUCGAUCGAUCUCCCUGUGCGUCCGCCGGACAACUUGCGGCAGCGAGCGGCAUUCCAUCCAGAGGCAGCCAACGAUUGCCGCCCUCAAAAGAUUCAGCGUAGCGCUGGGUUUUUUUCCGCACUAAUUAUGUGUUGUACUAUGGCAGAAGAUAUAAUUACUUUAUGCCCAGCCAUAAUUACCUUCAUGUGCUGUGUACUGAAGCCCAAAACAGCCCACGCGCAUUAUCCUGUAUUUAGGCCACUGUGGUAAACUGUACUUUCAUUUGUAUGUUUGGCUUGUCUAAAAAAAAUUGUAUGUUUUCCAAGACCUAGCGUCCAUCUAUUCCGCGCCGCCGUCGCUGCCCUGUCGGUUGCCUUGUGAGUUGCCGGAUGCCACCUACACACCGCCGUCAUGGUUCGUCCAUCCUACACUGGCAGCAGUGCGGUGCGAGUAUUCAGUCCGCAGAUCACUGUAUUGUAUUGGCGUAUCCGUUUCUUGAGCAGUUAGAUCUAUAGGUAUGUAUUAAGUACUAGUUUUUAUUAUGUUGGUGGAUUUCAAUCCAGUAUUCUAGUGAUCUCGUUUACUUGCAUAUAAGACAACAGGUUAAUUCACAAAUUAGGUGUGUCGCUUUUCCAUAGUAGAUGACUUUGAUUAAUUUGGCAAAUCACAUGAUCACUUAACCCAAAUGAAAUUGCUGCAAUAGACCCCAUGGUCUAAAGUCAAUCUAAUAAUAAAGAUUCACAAGGAUCAUUUUCCGUGAAGUUUUAUCUAUUGCGUGGUCAUUCUCUUCCCUCAACCCCUUCAUGUUUAAAUCCUGGCUCCACUUCUGCGCUUGAGAGCAAAGUGUUGAAGAAGAUUAAUUACAAGGAUAUCAUUGAACAUUUCAUUUCAAAGAAUACUAAAAGAAUGACUUGUUCAAAUAAAUAUCAGGCAACCGGGAGUUGAAUAGGUAUGCUUUUUUACACAUCCAAUUGCUAUGUAAGACAUUAUAUCAUAUACGUUAUAUUGCUCAUUAGUUUAUUUUAGUGAGAUGGGGCCCCAUUUUUUAGUUUCGCACAGGGCUCUGGAUUUUGCCGACCCAGCCUUGAUAGACAUGUUCUAAUGUGUUUGUUCAGUCAUUUUAGUCUGUACAUAGUAAUAUUAAAAUAUCCAGAACAUCUCUUAUAUUUAUGAAGCGAGUGAGUACUAGUUAUGUAAUGUGUCUAUUACCGGUGCUCGAGUGUCUGAGUGUUAACUUGGAACCCACUAAGAUGAAUUUCUAGACCCGUCGCUUAUUGCAACGUUAGAUUGAAUCAAUAGAUAAUGAUAUUCUUCUCGCCUAGCUCAUCACCGAGACAUUCGAUUUAAAUAAUCUUGUAUCCUUAUUAUUGGCACAAACGCAAUCAGAAGUUUCUUUCUCUUUGGGUCGCGCUAACUGCCACACGUGUGGCAGGAAGGAAGACGCACCACACGUCUCUAAUGUAAACAGAUUGCCACGUCAUCGCAUGCAUGCAUGCAGGAAUUUUUUUGGAUUUUCAGUUUUUAAAAUGUUUUAUCUCUUAAACGAAAAAUCCGAUUGAAAAUCCGUUUUCACCAUUAAAUCCCUCGCGAUGAGAUCUUCGAAACUAGAUCCAAUGUUGAUAUGUUUUAAUGAAUUUUUUUUUGGAUUAAAAGUUGCCAUGUCUAUUGCAUAUGAAUUGUCAUGAUGUUUACACUGAAGUUGCCAUGAUAUGUUUCAGCUCUUUUCUUCUACAUUUAAAAGUAAAUUUUGACAUUUAUAAAACGGGGAAUUAAGAAACUAGACUUGCCAUGAACCAUAAACUAAAAUUGCCAUGAUACAUGCACGUAAAAUUGCCAUGGUUCAUACAAAAAAUAAUUUUCAUGGUCAAAGUACUAGAGUUGCCAUCAUCAAAAUACUAAAAUUGCCAUGAUCUACAAACUAAAAUUGCCACAUGGCAACUUUAGUUUAAGCCCUAUGGCAACUGCAGUGUAAACAUCGUGGCAACUUCUGACAAAAAAAAAAUCAUCGAAACAUAUCAACAUGGGGUCUAGUUUUGAAGAUCUCGUCGAGACGGAUUUAAUGGUGAAAACGGAUUUUUAGUUCGCUUUUUUAUUUAGAAGAUACAACAUUUUUAAGCCGAAAACCAAAAAAAAUUCUGCUGAUGUCAUCUAUUCAUACGUGGCAAAAUGAGUGGUGAUGGAGGCGUGUGGGCGAUGUGCAAACGCCCACACGUGUGGGCGUUAACAUUUUCGUUUUCUUUCUGUCACCAAAAUACUUCACUUACUGAGGGUUUUCUAUCCUGCUCCCUCUUAUUUUCCAUUUUCACAUGAAAGAUACGAGUAUAAAAUAGAUCUAAGCCGUUGAUUGUACUAAAUAGUGGGUUUGAUUAACUCUUAACUUCUUACCUUCCGUGUGAAAAGAGAGGUUUUUUAACAUGCUCCUCUUACUCUCUGUCUCCGUGCAUGUUAAAAUUGCUCUUAUAAAGAUUUACAAGACGACGUGCGAGUCGAGUCGAGCACCUCACCUGGAAGUCAAAACCAUCGGCCAUCGCGUGGGAGUCCCGGGUAGGGCUCGUCACCAUGCAAGGGCGGAAGGAUCGACGUCGCCGGCCGCCAACUCCGGCCACCGGCGAGGCUGAGAACAGCGGUGGCUCGACGGAGGAGAAGACGUGCGCCGCCAUCAGUCAGUUGCGACUAUCACCUCUGUAACCACACAACUGUUGGCUAAGGAGCAAGUGAGCAACUACCGUACUUGUCAAGCCGCCACGAACAAAUACAUAUAGGCAGCGACGAACAUUUAUAUUACUGCGCCGACGUACACACACGCAGGAUGUCUGGCCAGAAAAGGAGGUAGGAUUUUUUUUGCCGACCUUGCGCUGAAACUUCUCCACGUCCCUGGAUCUAAAUGACUAGGGUGAUUCGUAGCCUCCUUUCCCAUACAAAUGUUGUGGCGCCUACGGGGUAAAGCAGCAGCCAUAUAUAUCUGUGCUAGGUUGGAAGAGUGCUCACUAGAAGAGAGCUACGUCGUUGUUGCUACUAUAGAUUGCGCCCGCCCUGAAAUCUCAAUGACCGGGAUGGGUUUCAUACGGAAUCUGGGACGAAAUCUGCAAGUGGAGAGGAAGAGAUUUCGACAACAUAAUUUUUUCCAACUUCACAGAAAUGUACGUGCAUUUUUUAGGAAUGUUAGUUCAAACAUUUUAACAAAAAUGUGUGUACGACUAAAAAAGGUGUUCACGUGUAUGUAAAAAAAUGCCAUGUAGAAUAAAAAUGUUCAGUAUUUUUAUUAAAUGUUCAUGUAAUUAAGAUGUGUUCAUCUAUUCUGAAUAAAAUACAUGUACUUUUAAAGAAAUGUUCACAUAUUUUAAAAAGUGUUCAUAUACUUUCAAAACAUGUUCAUGCAUUUCCUGUGAAAGCGAUCAUGUUAUUAAUGAAAGCAUUCGUCCAUUUGAGAAAUUAUUCAUGUAAUUAAACAAGUUUUCCACCCAUUUGAAAAGUCUUCAUGUAAUUUUAAAAUAGUGUAAUAUUCAUGUAUUUUUUUAAACCCAUAUUUUUUUAAUAUCUUAGUAUAUUUUUAAAACAAAACAUGAAACUUAAAAUAGAAGAGAAAAAGGACAAACAAACAAGAAAAUAAAAAGGAAUAAAACACAAAACAAAAAAGAAACAUGAAAAAAGGAAAAACCCAACACAAACCAGCACAAAAAAACCCGACAAAAGAAAAUAGGAAAAAACAACUGAAACCAGUCCGGUCCACACCCCCACAGCUGGGUCUGGUCCCUACCUUCGCCCAAAUUUUUAUGGCCAGCGAUUUUGCUCGGCAGGUUCAUUAAUGAAAUGAAGUGUUUCGAGCUAAAAAAAACGGUGAUCCAUAAUUUUUUCUUCCACGUUCGUCCGUGGACAGGGGGACCAGUCCGCGUACACGAAUGCGAGAGGCCGUCAUUCAACGCUAUCCUAUAUAUGUCCGCCAGUAAAAGGUAAUUUGAAAUUCAAAUUUAGUUUGAUCCACACAGUGUGUCACAUCACACCAGCGCCAGAUCGCAUGCUCUAUCACAGCCAAAAAGAGACAAGUAUGCUUAGUUUUUACAUGCCGAAUCCAAAAAAAUAUCAGUCUGACAAUCAGUGCAAUUUUUCAUAAAAUGGUGUGUGUGUGGCGCUAUCGGCAAGGCACGUUUCCUCCGUUCGGGCACCACAUGCGUUCUAAAAUAUAACAUCUAACUAAUGUAAUGAGGAACAAGCUACAUUAAUAAUAAAUGCACACAUUUCGGAACAUGACAUACUCCCUCCGUCUCAGUUUACAAGUCCUACGCGUAUACCUAGGUUACCAUUUUUAUCACCCUAAUAUAAACUAUAUAACACAAAAAUUAUACGGUUUGAAAAUAGAACAUCUGAAUUUUAUAUUAAUAUAUUUUUUAUAAUAUAUGAUUUAUAUUAGGUUGGUCAAAUUGACGACCUAGGGGUACGCGCACGCCCUUUAAACUGAGAGAGAGGGAGUACUAUCAUGGAUAAAUAAUGAAAUAAAUGAAUGACAUAAAUGUCAUCCAAUCGCCAAUGUAAAGAAUAUGCUCUCAUGGAGCUUACAACCAAAUCGAGUUUACUCGAAUUUAUUGUAUGAAAUCAUGGAAUCAUGAUAACUAACGAGGUAAGCUAUAUAAACGAGUAUUUAUAUAGGGGCAGGGGUCAAGAGAUAAAUACUCAUUUAACGUAAAGUGUGGAACCAGAAGGGGCUAAGCCGUGCGCAUCGCACGUGUCCGCCGCCACCCUCGUGGUGGACCCGGUUUCCCAACAAGUGUGUGUGCGCGCGUAGUGGCGCCGAGCAUUGUGGCUGGCUUUUGUGAGUGUGUGCAUUGGAGCUAGCUUGGGUUAAAAAAGCCCCCGUGUACUCGUUGUAAGUGCGUCGGUAUGAGCCAUGCCACGGUGCGUUGCCGAGCCCGGGUAUGUGCCCAGUAAAUUGACGCCGUUCGUGUGAUGUGGCGUUUGUGCGCCGGAAAUAUUUGUGUCCCUCUUCUUUUCCACCUAUGUCCGAGCGAGUGUGAGAGCGAGGUAGUCCGGUUUGUCCCAACACAGCCAGCAAGACGGCCACUAGCUGCUAGCGGCUUAGAUGUACUAAAAUGACAUUGUCGCCUCUUCAUGGUGAAAUCAUUAAUUUCCUUGUAAACACUAACAAUUGGCAUCACCUUUGUGUUAUUUGUAUUAGUUGGCGUGCAUCAACACAAUCGUGGGCCUAAGCCCAGGCCCAUGACUCCCUACCUGGCAGUCUAUAUAAUGCAAGAGUUGGCCAGUGUAGUUGAUAGACACACUCUCUCCUCGCGUAACCCUAUCCGUCAUCUAAAUGUACCUUUCAGUGUGCUGCUUCUGGCGAUCCCAUCCCGACAACCGCAUGCACAGUUGGCCAAGAGAUCCCAUCCUGACAACCGCAUGCACAGUUGGCCAAGAGAGCGGGUGCCCUCGAAACCACGUCCUUCGAGAUCCUACCCGGGAGAAGGGCCAUAAGGUUUUUGGGGAGCGUCUCUGUCCUCCUCUACUUCAACUACUUUCCCUGCAUGAUCCCAUGGCGAACGAUGACAAAGCCGCCAAGAAGAAAGCCACGGACGACGUCAAGGUUGUUGCUGUCGCUGCCUGGCCAACCAAAGAGUAUGACUUGUUCAUCCCCUACUAACUCGUUCAUCUGCUAGCCAUAUAUGUCCUGUACAUAGAUGUUUUGUUCUUUGUGUUAUACAUGCUCACAUGUUUAGCUAUCACCUAUCGGUAUGAGUUGCAUACUGUGAAUCAUAUGCUUACUGUUAACUCGUGAACUAGAUUAAUCGAAAAGGUGGUGCUAAUAUUUCCAACAUAUUUGAUUUGAUUUCCUAGCAUGCAUCCAGUAUUGCAGAUGCGAACGCGUACUGCAAAUCUGAGAAAGUCUACGCAACUCUAUUUCAUUAUAUGCAAGUCACGCGUGCAUACGGAACCUGAAAAGGGCAGUGAAGCUUUGUUGGUGGCCAGAGGUGAUAAAAUGCAUCUGUCCCUCAAGCAGGCUCAGAAAAAAUCAGCUCUACUAAAUGAUACAGAUUUUCUUACUGGCAUGCAAUGCCAAACUCGAGAAGCAGCUAAAUAAAUGUAGCAGCAACAGAACGUGCUAAUGCGAGGCGGGCGAAGGUUCUAUCUUCCCGGUACAGCCUAAGAUUAUUUCACUUCACCUUUGAACCACUUUCCAAUACAGACGAAGUCACCACCAACGAAUUUCGACAGAACUAAGUUGGAACCGAUUUCACCGAGCAUCUUAACCACCAUCUUCUGCUACCGCCUAGCUAAACUGGUGGUCCACUGGCAUCCCAGCGUUUUUACCCCUGGCAUGGGGUGGGUUUAUAUACACAAUCUGGGCUGUGAAACAACAGGAACCAGGAUUCAUCGUUUUACAAGGUGGACGUGAGCUUGCAACUGUGCGAGGAAAUUCAGCCAUGCCUGAUGGACCAACCCAGCAUUUCCCCUGCCAUCGUCGUAAGUGCGAGAAGAGCUAGUUGGAUGGAGGUCCAGAUCCACCCAUGCGCCUCCUGAGCCGGCCCCGAGUCAACCGAAUAGCCUCCUGGAUGAGCGUCUCCUCGUCUUCAGGCAUUGUUGGGCGGGGUGGCACGUUGCUUGUCGAAGGCCCAGAUUGAUCAACCAGCAUGUCUUCACUCUUUGGGGGGCUGUUGCCGGCGACAGGGCCAGGACAGGAAGGUGUUUGUUGCUGCACAGGAGGCACUGCGCCAGGAGGGGCAACUGGAACUGGGCCUUUAUCUUGCACCUGCAUCCUUGGUGGAGUAGGAGGAACUUGGGCGGCCUGUGGCGGCAUCGGUGGUGCCGUUGGUGCGGGAACAGGUGGUGGUGCAGGAUUCGCCAUCCGAGUCCGUGGAGGUGGUGGACGCUGCUGCUGUUGCUGUGCCUGUAUAGAGAGACAGUAAAGUAAGUACAUGAGACAUAUACAGCUGACACUGACACACACACGCACAAGCACACAAUACUAGGUAAGUUAAUGAGUUCUAAAAAACCAUCUGACUCUGAAUCCUGCAACUGGUAAACAGAAAGCCCAUGCUGCACUCUCGACAAAUGCACACAGAACUUCUGUACAUGAAUAAUCCUAACCCUUCCUAACAAAUGGUAUGACGAAAUGGUGCAGCAGUUAUCACAUUCCAAUAUGGAAAUUAUAUAUUAUACGUGCUUCUCAGGUUACUAACUCUAACAAAGGAUGUAACAAGAAUGGAAGUGCUAUUCAUGCAAGGUGAUACAAACUAUGUGGAACUAUAGAUCAAACUUUGCUAGAAGUACCAGAGGUAUGGAGCAAAACUAAAUUGCAGGUCGUCAACUUGAUCACUGUCAGUACACGAUCAAAUAUCUAUGUUGUCUUUAACAAGAUAUGUAAAGCAUCAAGCAUGACAAGGUAAUUCUAGACAAGUUUGCUUUUGUAUGUGUGCCCAAACAAAUAAGAGCUAAGCAACCUAGAGGUCGAGGACACCAUGAAUAAUCCUAUUGUGAUAAUUCUUGCAAGAAAAUUGGUACAGGAGUAUGGUAGAUGAAUGGCAUGAUACUACAAAAUCAUUGCUAGCUAAUUUUGUCCACGCAAAUGCCACAAUUAACCACAACUCAGGCUCCUAAGCUGUAAAAUAAACCAGAGAAACAAAUGCCAUUUCCUACCAAAUACCAACAGAGAUUACUGAAUAGUGAUAAAUCCAGGUACAAUCGUAAGCCAGUUUGAUUUGGCAGAACAAUUGGGUUUGACUAAACUGCGCCCUAACUGAUGAAAAGAAAAAGGGAUAAUGUUAUAAUGCAACUACAUGGUGAUGAGUUGAUGACAUAGCAGAACUUGUGCGGCACACAAAUUCUUCCAAAGGGUGCGACCAGGACAUACACACAAAUUCUUAGAGUGCACGCAAGGUAGAAUAUUCAACUGAACACUAGGGGGAAAUAUUUCUAGAAUUUCACAAUAUGGUGUGAAAACACUCCAGUAGUAGCGCUCUUAGAAGACCAGAGCAAAUUUCCCAACCUAUCGAUAAUUCACAGAAAUUCUCAGAACUAGGAAAAAUUAGAUGCAUAUUCUCUCUAUUAUAAAUGGAAGGUAAAUGCAUAUGCCAAAAUUUUGGAGCAAUAUAUGAUCUCUGAGCGUCAUACUAUAUUUCUUUUACCCAAACAUAGGAGUAUUAUUUAACUCCAAUUGUAACUACAAAAAAAAAUCAGUAAACACCACUCGUAGACGAGAGGCUGAAUGUAAAAAGAAGUGUUGCAUAAAGGAACAUAGAAAUGGGUAUUAUUCAUGUUUUUCUAACUUCCACUAGAAAUCAGGGAAUCAAUGUGAAUUUAAGAUCAUUUUAACAUUUAAAAAAAACAUGUGGUGGUAGGAUGCAAUACAUACAUCGUUAUCAAUACAACAUGUGAAUAAAUUCAUGGCCUAGCAUUUAAAAUUCUACUCCAGCCUACAACAUUGGGCUCAAAUAGAAGAAAACCUAAAUAGCACUACCAUUAUGGAACAAGCCACCAGAUUAUAUCAUAUACUCCCUCCGUCCCAUAAUUCUUGUCUUAGAUUUGUCUAAAUACGGAUGUAUCAAGUCACGUUUUAGUAUUAGAUACAUCCGUAUCUAGACAAAUCUAAGACAAGAAUUUUGGGACGGAGGGAGUACAAACUAUAGAAGUUCAGUCAUCAUAUAGUGGGUAGUGUUACACUUCUCGCUAAAAUAGACAUCAUAGCAGUACAAAAUGACUGUCACACAAGCUUUAAAGUUUUGAAAGUACCUGAGAACGAGAUCCUUGUGAUUGAGAAGCAAUAUAUUGCAAGAUUUCAUGGAACCUUGACUGGCUGUAGUCUGCAACCUUGUGGAAGUAAGUAACAGCAAUAUCACUAGCCCUUGUCCUCAACUCAAGAAGAUUGCGAUCAAUCUCAGAUUCGUGUUUUGCGAUAUAAGGCUUGAAGAACGACUCAUAGACAUAUGAAGUCCCCUGGAAUAACCCUUUGUUAGAGACAAGCCAUAAGACAUAACAUGUUAUGGCAACACAAAAAGCAGGAAACAAAACCUGUGUCUUAGGAUACCACAAAUACACAAUAAAAGCCAGCUUUGCUUCACUAUACAUUGGCAACCUGUAUGAAAAUGGAACUAUCAACCAUCAAGCAGAUGAAGUCCCCCAACUGUAAUCACCCAAAAUCCGAAUUCAAAUGAGUCACAUUACCAUGAUAUGAAAUUAUCCCCAACUCUCUCGAAAACAGUAAGCAUUGCAAGUAAAAUCCUGCAAAACCAUGGUCAUGCAUGUGAGACCAAGCAAAAACAAAGAAUGAUAGCCCAAAAUAAAAUGGAAGGACGUCAAAGACAUACCAGUACUGACACCAGAACCGCAACUGCUCAAUCUCAGGCCUAUUCAGCUCCACUGUCUUGUAACAAUCAUAAGCUGGAUAUGCAUAUCCAAGAACAAGUCUGCAAAACGGAUAAAUAGCAGAAACAUUGUGGGUGUAAACAAGAAUCACACCAUUGCUGUGAUUAAAUAAGAACUGAAUUGCUGCUUACAUUAAAGCUCUGGUGAUGAAUGAUCCGACAACCAUCUUGACCCCUACACCACAGAAACAUCAAUUACAUAUGUUGUCAAUUGCCAAAAGCAAGAUAGAUAAAUGUCCUAUGAGGGUCAAAUAUAUAACAGGCUAGCAGUCAUUAUGCUAUAUACUUCCGCAAGCUCCUUCACAUCAGCAAAACAGAACACAAAAAGAUGGAAAUAGGCACCGCAUGCUAGAUUAAGCCUUUAUCUUGCUGAUUACUUCAGCCAUCACACAUCUAGAAAGCCUUAUCCAAUCAUACUAGCACCAUAAAGUCAUACUCCCUCCGUUUUGAAAUAAUUGUCUUUCUAGAGAUUUCAACAAGUGACUACAUACGAAGCAAAAUGAGUGAAUCUACACUCUAAAACAUGUCUACAUACAUCCGUAUGUUGUAGUCUAUUUGAGAUGGCUAGAAAGACAAUUAUUUCGGAACGGAGGGAGUAGGUGAUACCAAACCAUUUGGCUAGAGUUCGAUUUUGUUAUAACAAACAGGGGCUACGCAGAGUAGGGGAAACCUAACGACUGCCUGUCCUGGCAAGAACAAACAAAACUUCUGUUAAAGUUGGGUCUAGAUAAGAACAGGGGGUGCAUCAAGCAUCAUAAGUUCAUAUCAGUCCAUUUUGCUAGAUUUCGAUUUUGUUACAGCAAGCACUGCACGGAAUAGGAGGAAAUCCAAACAAUUACAUAUUCCCAGUCAGACCAAACAAUUUACUGUUACAUUUUGGCUUUAGUAUAUGAUAGCAGAAGGUACACCUCCUCUGCCCUAAGAAAAUGACCAAGCAAAUCAAUCCGAACAUGAACUGGGAGGCAAAUUGAAUGGAGGGACCCGAUACAGAUCGAUUCAAAGGAGCAGCCAAAAGUACACCUAUGCUCUCAGAAGAAGACCAACCAAAUUAAUCUAAACAUGAACUGGGAAGCAAAACAUAAAAAGAUGAAAAUAGGUACUGCAUGCUAGAUUAAGCCUUUAUCUUGCUGAUUACUUCAGCUAUCGAACAUCCAGAAAGCGGCAUCCAAACAUGCUAGCACCAUAAGUUCAUAGGUGACACCAAACCAUUUUGCUAUAGUUCGAUUUUGUUAUAACAGAGGCUACACAGAGUAGGGGAAACCUAACGACCACCUGUUCUGGCCAGACCAAACAAAAUUUCUGUUGAAGUUGGGAAAUUUCCAACAACAAAAUUGAUAAAUGUCCUAUGAGGUCAAAUCUAUAACAGGUUAGCAGCCAUUAUUAUGCCACAGCCUUCCACAAGCUCCUUCACAUCAGCAAAACAGAACACAAAAGGAUGGAAAUAGGCACUGCAUGCCAGAUCAAGCCUUUAUCAUGCUAAUUAAUUCAGCCACCACACGCCUAGAAAGCAUUAUCCAAUCAUGUAUUCAUGUUAACAGCAUAAGUUCAUAGGUGAUACCAAACCAUUUUGCGGAGUUCAAUUUUGUUAUAACAGAGGCUACACUGAAAAGGGGAAACCUAACAACUACCUGUUCUGGCCAGACCAAACAAAAUUUCUGUUAAAGUUGGGUCUAGAUAUAUAGAAUAGGGGGUGCAUCAAGCAUCAUAAGUUCAUAUGAGCCCGUUCUGCUAGAGUUUGAUUCUGUCACAACAAAUACUACAGAGAAUAUGGCGAAAUCCAGACAAUUACUUGUUCCCAGUCAGACCAAACAAUUUACUGUUACAUUUCUGCUUUAGUAUAUGACAGCAGAAGGUAAACCUCCUCUGCUCUAAGAAAUGACCAAGCAAAUCAAUCUGAACAUGAACUGGGAGGCAAAUUGAAUGGAGGCACCCGAUACAAAUCAAUUCAAACGAGCAGCCAAAAGUACACCUACGCUCUCAGAAGAAGACCAACCAAAUUAAUCUAAACAUGAACUGGGAAGCAAAAAAUAAAUAAACGGAGGCACCAGGUACAAUAUCAAUUCAAACGAGCAGCCGAAAGCACCUCGCGCAAACCCAACCAGAUCAGCCUCGGCCUAGCGCGAAACCAGAAUCAACACGCCGCAGAGGAACCGCUACAUCAAGCUCGCAAAUCCCUCCAAAUGCGAGCGGCUCGCAAAUCCCUCCAAAUGCGAGCGGCUCGCAACCCCUGGGCGCCACGCCCCGCGCGGUUGCGGCCCCCGAACGGCACCGGAGGAGCAGCGCACCGCAGCGCGGAGAAUCGAACGGGGCACGGGACGCGACAACCGCAGCCUAAUCCAUACCCGAAACAACCAAACAGCGUAUCCGUGGCGUGUGCGGGGAGAAGUUAACCCCCGGCGGAGACGGAACGGGGAGGGGGCGGCGCCGCUGCUGCCGCCCCUACAGAAGGACCAAAUCGAAGCAAAGUGGGGCGGGGAACGAAUACCUUUCCUCCCGCUGCAAGCAACGGGCCGGCAGCGCGAGGUGCUGGCCCUCGGCGGCGGCGACGACGCGGGCUGUUGCCGGAGCAGGGGAGGGAGCCGCGGAAGCUUCCAGGAGGUUCCGGGAGGGAGGGGGCCUCCGUCCCGGGCCGGGUCGGCGGCGAGGCGGCCGAGGGGAGAGGGGGAGGGAAUUCAAAAGAGGGGUUUGCCUUUGGGUUUGGGGAUGGAAAAGGGGCGAGGAAAUCACCGUCAGAAACCGCUACAUAGCGUCCCACGCUCACGGUGGGGCCUACCCGUGUGCUACGCUGAUAGAUGGGCCCAGACGUGGUAUGGUCCCACCUGUCUGCCGGGCUUAGCUUGCUGCUGUCGGCUCGGGUGGGUGGAAGGGGUCGGAGGUGUGCGGCGCCGUUCUGGUCUGCGGGGGUCGGAGGGGUGCCGCGCACGCGUCGGCUCUUGUACCCGUGCGAAGUCGGGUGCGGUGGGCCGCAGUGUCAGUGGGUGGCCUCGGGUGGAUAAGAGCGCGCCGAGGUUAAGUAAAGAAUUGUGCUGUGUUUGGGUGCGAGGGGCAAGGAAUAUGUGCACGCCGGGAGGAGGGGAUGGGAUCCCAGCCCAUCUGACAACCCCCUCUCUCUCUCUCUCUUCGACACGCUUGUCAAGUGUUGCGGCAUCGUUUUGAUUUAACGAUGUGGUAUAUCGUAAAGUUUGAUAAAAAAAAUAUACUCCCCAUCCAUAAUAAGUGUCGCGAUUUUGAACUCAGAUUAGUAGGUGCAUAUACCGUGAUCGCUCCAGCUGCAAAGAGGGAAUAGAUUGUGUGUGGUAUCUCGCAAAAGAAAAUAUACACUACUUAGGGCAUCUCUAACAGAACCACCAUCACACAACUUUUUAAAUGCUCUCUCAAAUUUUAACUCCCCAAAACUGAGAAGUUAAGAUAACGGACAGACUUAACCGAACUUCUAUAUUUAGAGCAUCUCCAAUAGAUGGUCCAAAAUUUGACGGUCCAAAAUUGAAGAUGUAAAAUUUACACCGCCAAAAAGUGCGCUUUGGGGUUCUCAUUGCCUCAAGAUGUUUUUGUUACACUUAGGGCCUGUUCUGAACUUCUCUUGCUUCUCAAAACUUCACAUAUCCAGCUUCUUCUCCUCGCUUCUAACUCCACCUAGCGAUCGCAGGAGCGUUCGGGAGCAUCGACAGCUUCUCCCAGCGCUGCAGCCCAGCUGGGAGGGCUGUGGCCUGUUGGGCCGGCUGGAGGCAGCCAAAUUCGGUCCAACAUGUCAGGUGAGGCGGACUCCGGCGACUCGACGAGGUGAGGAAGAGAGCGCGAAGGGGAGGAGCAGGAAGGGGAAGGGGCGGUGUGGUGCGGGGAGGUGAGCGGCACCGCAGCCGUGGUCAGGCGCCGGAUCCCGCUGUGGUGCCUACGCCCGUGGGCCCGUUUUCGAUGCCUUCCCCGGGCUGCGUCGACGGGAACCGGCGGGGAUUGCCCUGGAACGGCUCGAUCUGUUGCCGGGAAGGAGCGGCGGCCGGCGACGACGCGGCGGCCGGCAACGGCGUGGCGGCGGAUUGGGUCAGCGCCGCUCGAGGGGAACGAGCUGGGGAGAGCUAGCGAUAGGAUUUGGGGGAGGGGAACGAAUCGGUAAGUUUUGCGGUGGCAUACGGCUGUAAUUUGGGCAAACUCCAGUUUCUCUUUUCCGUGGAGCUGGGCCGAGGCAGCUUCGAAUUUUUACACUGCGAUUGGGCUCAGCUUCCCGAAGCGAGCUUCUCGGGGCUUUUCCGUUCGGCUCAGCUCCCGCUCCAGAAUUUUGCAAAGCGUGGAGCGGGAGGACAUCCGAACAGGCCCUUACUGAGCGGAAGGGGGCAUGUGAACCUUUUGGAGAACUUGUUGAGGCUUGGGUACUGAUUGAAGGAAUUCCUCCUAAAUGGUGCACAUGGAAAGUUUUUGCUCAGAUUGCUUCUUUGUUUGGGGUACUGACUGAUGUAGGCUGGAAUGGCAUGUUCAGGACUUUCUUUGAGAAUGUUAGAAUAAAAAUUGCUUGUAGGGACCCCACAAAGAUCCCAUUUGAGAGGCUCAUUGAGAUGAAGAAGAAGUUGUUUUUACUGGGCUUUGCUGCGGAGGGAUUUGAGCAAGUUGGUGGGAUUGACUCUGUUAUUGAUAUUGAGGAUGAUGAAGAAAUAGAAGGAGAAGGUGUCGCUGAGGGACAGGAGGAUGAGGGUGGAAAUGCUUAGAAAGAUGGACUGGAAGACUUACUUGAUAGUGAGGAGGCAAUUGAUGAGCUAGAUAAGGCUAAUAUAGCUAAUCAAAGCAAGAAUAAACAGAAAGGGCCCCAAGCUGACAUGUUCUGUUCUGACUCUGAUCAUGAAACCUUUAUCCUGGAGUGUGUUGCUGCUGAUAAAGAAGAACAUCUUGUAACUGAAAAAGGAACUGAAUCUAAGGAUUUCUGUCCUUCUACUUUGAUGGAAUCCACUCCAUCCAAGCCACUAGUAAGGAUUGCUGAGGGGAUCACCAGUUCUGGAGGGAAGCUUGAAAGCAUGGAGUAUUGUGAGAGUAUACUUAAAUCUGUUGACUUUUCUGAGUCCGAGGAAGAGGAUUCCAAGGGUGAUGAACUUGAAACUCUUCCUCCUGAAGUUGUACAAGCCAUUCAAAACAUAUCUCUGAAAAGAUCUUUGCUGGAAACCCUUGAUCAGGAUCAGGAUCCAAGGGCAAAAGCUGAGAAGACCAAGUGGAGGCCUGUGCUGGUUCAGAAACCUGCUACUAGGGGGCAUGGCAAUUUGAAUAUCAUGGAAAAAGCUGCUGCUUACAAGAGGAAGCAGAAUCUGGAAAUUCCAAAAACUUUCAAAGGUAAAUCAUUCACUAAUACUGAUCAUAACAUUCUGUUUGAAAAAAUGAGUAAAAUUGAUUUAUGCAUUGGGGGGAUGAGGGGAUGAAUAGUGUAUCCAUAGCGUGUGCGGGGAGAAGUUAACCCCCGGCGGAGACGGAACGGGGAGGGGGCGGCGCCGCUACUGCCGCCCCUACAGAAGGACCAAAUCCAAGCAAAGUGGGGCGGGGAACGAAUACCUUUCCUCCCGAUGCAAGCAACGGGUCGAAGCGCGCGAGGUGGUGGCCCUCGGCGGCGGCGGCGACGCGGGACCUCAUCGGAGCAGGGGAGGGAGCCGCGGAAGCUUCCAGAAGGUUCCGGGAGGGAGGAGGGGGCCUCCGUCCCGGGCCGGGUCGGCGACGAGGCGGCCGAGAGGAGAGGGGAAGGGAAUUCAAAAGAGGGCUUUGCCUUUGGGUUUGGGGAUAGAAAAGGGACGAGGAAAUCACCGUGAGAAACCGCUACAUAGUGUCCCAAGCUCACGGUGGGGCCUACCCGUGUGCCACGCUGAUGGAUGGGCCCGGACCUGGGAUGGUCCCACCUGUCUGCUGGGUUUAGUUUGCUGCUGUCAGCUCGGGUGGAUGGAAGGGGUCGGAGGUAUGCGGCGCUGUUCUGGUCUGCGGGGGUCGGAGGGGUGCCGCGCACGCGUCGGCUCUUGUACCCGUGCGAAGUCGGGCUAGCUCGGGUGCGGUGGGCCGCAGUGUCAGUGGGUGUCCUCGGGUGGAUAAGAGCGCGCCGAGGUUAAGUAAAGAAUUGUGCUGUGUUUGGGUGCGAGGGGCAAGGAAUAUGUGCACGCCGGGAGGAGGGGAUGGGAUCCCGGCCCGUUUGACACCCCCCCCCCUCUCUCCCUUCGACACGACUUGUCAAGUGCUGCAGCAUCGUUUUAACUUUCCGAUGUACUACUAGUACCAUCGUAAAGUUUGAUAUAAAUGAAAAAAUGUACUCCCUUCCUCAAAUUUAAUACAAAGUUGACACUUGUUUUGAAACGGAGGAAGUAUACGAAGUAUUUUUACACUUGUUUUGAAAAGGACAUAGAUUAGCACGCGAAAUUUCUGCUCCCAGGCUCAUCUGCACCUGCGCUCAUAAAAAAAUCAAAGAAAAACUAGAAAAAUCCUUUUUUGUGUGUGUGGCUCAUCUGCACCUGCGCAUGGCCCCUCCUGAUUUGUCUUUUUUGUCGAGAGCUGUUCAGAUGUCCAAAUGAGUUAAAAUUUGGAGCUGACAUCACGCAUCAAAUUAUCUACCAGACAAAAAAUGUAUAUUUUUUUGAAUUUUUUUAGUAUUUGUUUUGAUUUUUUCUGAGCGGGAGCAUAUGAGCCUGGGCACCGAGUUGGAUUUUCACAUAGAUUAUGUACAUUGUGCAAUAGUACCUCGCAAAAGAAAAUAUAAAUUUCCUAGGGCAUUUCUAACUGAAACACCACUAUAUGACUUUUCAAAUGCUCCCUCAAAUCUUAACUCCUCAAACGGCAAGCUGGAGGACACGGGUUUUUCGGGCAAUACUUCCUCAACUUGGACUGCAAUCAGUCACGGCCUAGAUUUGCUCAAGAAAGGUUUAAUAUGGAUAGUUGGGAACGGAAGGAGUAUUCGUAUAUGGAGGGACGCUUGGAUCCCUAGGCCCUUUUCAUAUAGGCCAAUCUCAGUUCAGGGUACAUGCAGGUACCGUUUUGUGUCACAGCUUCUACGCGACAAUGGAUCAUGGAAUUACAAUCUGCUCCAGGAAGCCUUCCUACCAUGUGAUGUGCAGGAGAUUCUGAAAAUAAGAGCAUCGCCGCGGCUAGGCGAGGACGUGCUUGCAUGGGGGCCGGCUGGAAAUGGUGUUUUUUCAGUCGAAUCAGCAUAUACCUUAGCCUUUGAAGAGACAUACAUAUCUACUGCGGAAUCUUCAAGCUCAGCCCCGAAUGGACAUCAGACCUGUUGGAAAGUUAUUUGGAAAAGUUUUGUACCUCUAGCAGUACAGCAGUGAACUCUCUCCCAACUUGGCAAAACAAGAAUAAACGUAACUUAGAAACUUCGGGAAUCUGCCCAAUCUGCGAGCGGGAAGAGGAAGAUACUUUUCAUGCAUUAUGUAAAUGCCCUUUUGUGGUGCAAUGUGGGAAUGCAUGUCAACUGUUUGGCGUUUGCCACAGCUGGAGGAAAUGAAAAAUACGGGUACUGAAUGGUAUUGGAGGCGCUCCAUCCACUCCCUGAGAUUGAUAGUGGUAUGCUAAUGAUGACACUGUGGCGGGUAUGGCAUAACCAUAAUGAAGUGACUCAUAAAAAAGGAUCCAUUGUUGAUGGAAGUGUCCAAGCGUUUCCUGAUGAGCUACAUGGACUCGCUCUUAUCACUGAAAUACUCUGAUUAGGAUAUGUUUAAGGGACAGCAAGUGGUCUCUUAUGAUCAUCUAUAUAAACCACUUGUGAUAUUAUCUACACCUCGGCACAUUCCAUGGGUGUUGCCAAUGGAGGGCUGGACCAAACUCAACACAGAUGGUUCUUGGUCAGUUGAUGGAAGUGCGGGAGCUGGUAUGGUACUCCGGAAUAAUAUGGGUUAGACCAUUUACACAUCAUGCAUAGAGCAUUUCUCGUGCAGACACGCUUUGGAAGCGGAGCUUAGUGCAUGUACGGAGGGGCUUUUACUUGCCAUUCAGAGAACGGAGUUUCCUAUCCAUGUGGAGAUGGAUUCCCGACAAGCUGUGAGCAUGAUCGUUGAUGAGUUAACUGAUAGAUCGAUCUUCUCUUCACUGGUGAAGGAAAUCAAGCAUCUGAGGAACCUCCGUAGAACUACAUUUAGUCUUGUUCAUUGUAUUCAGAAUAGUGUUAGCAAUUUUUUGGCUAAGUUUGCUAGAACUCAGAGUAGAACUGUUGUUUGGCUUAACUCUGUCUUGUCAGAAGUUAUUGAGCUUUGUAAUGCAGAUCAUGGCAUUUAUCCCACUUGAGUAAUACAAAGUUCACCCGCAAAAAAAUCUUAACUCCUAAAAAAUGAGGAGUUAAGAUAGCGGUGGGACUUAACCGAACUCCUAUAUAUAACUCCUUAUAAAAAAGAUAUUUGCUAUUUAGCUAUCUUAAUGCCACAUGUUCUAGAUCCAAACGGCUGUGAUUAUUCUACUGUAUGCCCGUCGUUGAUGGAGAGAGUGUGGGGAUGAGCAGAGGUCGGAUCCCGUCGUGGCUCAGUGGAUGUAGGAUGAGGCAGUGGUGGCUUGCACCAUCAGCCAUGGACCUGGGCAUGCUGCCGCCGAGGCAUUCCAACUGUCUAUGGGAAGGGGGGAGGUCGUGGUGCUCCACGGGUGGAUGGCCAAACGCAGUGGGGUGAGUCCCACCUGGAUUGGCCAGAGUCGGAGGGACGCUCAGCGCCUUGACGUUGCCCGAACCGGAGUCGCCACCACCUCGCGUGGGUGCGAAAGGGGCGAUGCGCAGGUCGUCUAGCCACGAAUCCAUGCUUGAGUUUUUUUGUUAGAAAUCUCAUUGACUUACCUAAUAAAAUCGUGUUGCAUUGGUGAGCCAAUAAGUACUGAUCCAUUUAACAGUAAUAUCUGUUUAUAGUUAACAAUAAAAUUGUAGGUAAAUCAUGGUCAUUGCAUACAUUUAUGUGUGCCUUCGUUACAAUUCACAUGCAAUUAUCUAAUGGACUGAAAUUAAGGUCUAUGGCUUUUAAAAUAAUUUUUUAUUUCUUGUUGGGUUGAGAGUCAACAACCGGAAUCCAACACUUAAUUAUUUGUUGAUGCAAGUUUUAAUUUUGUGUUGCACCUGUUCGUGAGAAUGAGUCUUAGUACUGGAUGAUAACAUCACGUGGCCCUUGCUCUGUUUUCUUUGAACCAAUCUAGACAUGGAAGCCAUUUGUCAACCAAUGAUUUUUCUUUUUCCUAUUCAUAUGUGAAAUUUGUGUGCUAUUUUCUUGUUCUUAUGUCUAGCUAAAUCUAUACCUAAUAAUAAAGGGGCUAUUGCUGCGGCACGUCAUCGAAAUUGCCCCCAAAGUUGCAAAAUAUUACGCACUGAUGCCAUCUAUAUAAGGGAUAAAAAUGUUUCACACAAGGGAAUCCCCGCCUGGGCCGGCCCAUGCGGUAGGAACCUACUAUACUGCACUCUGUUUGUGCCGGCCCAAGUCGGGGCGGCAUAUUUUUUUAAAUUUUGUUUUCUAUUUUUUGUUUUUGUUUGCCAUCUUCAUUUUUCUACUUUAAAUAAUUUUGGAUUUUAAAAAAUUACAAAAUUAAAAAAAUGAGAAUUUUGAAAUAAAAUGUUUGAUAAUUCAUAAAUGUUUGUGCAAUUAUAAAAUGUUCCCGAUUUAAAAAAAUAUGUUUGCAUAUUCAAAAAGUGUUCGUAAAAAACAAAAUAAAUGUUUGGGGAAUAAAAAAUGUUCAUGAUUUUUUUUGAAAGUUUGUGUAUUAAAAAGCAUUGAUGAAAUUGAACAAAAUUUUGCCAAUUCAAAAAAUGUUCAUGAAUUGAAAAAUAUCAUAAAUUUUUGAAAACUGUUCAUGACUUACAAAAUAGUUUAUUGAUUCAUAAAAUGUUUGUGGAUAAAAAAAUGUUCAUUAAAUGAAAAAAAUUGUCCCACCAAUUCCAAAAACAUGUUCGUAGAUGCUAGAAAUAUUAUCCUAUUCAAAAAAAUGUUUUAAAAAGUAUUUUCAAAUAGUAUUAAAUGUUCAUGAAUUCAAAUUUUUACAUGAUUUUAGAAAAUGUUUAAAAAAAUGUAAAAAUCUUCCCGAUUUCAGAUAUGCUCAUGAGUUUAAAAUAUUGUUCAUGAGUUUCAAAAAUUGUUCACGCUUUCAUGAAAAUGGGAGUAUACUGUAUCUUGGUGAUGUAGCAAUAUGUGGUCAUGGCCAUUCAAGAUUAUGAUUUUUUUUCCCGUUGCAUCGCACGGCUGUUUUUGUAGUGUUUUACUUAUAUAUAGUAGAUAUACUUGUGAAAACCAUACAUAAAUAUUGCAUAUCUAUAUAAUUUAUAAUUUCAUAUAAUCCACACGGCAAUACAAAAAUCAAUUUUCAUAUAUAUCCCAAUCACAUUUAUUUCAGGGAGCAUGUCCUUGUACAUCAUCAGCUAGAUCCGUAUGUUUGUUGGAGGGGUGUACUUUGCUUAUUAGCGUAUAUGCAUAUUGUGCACUCACACCCAAAAGGAACACACUUGGCACUGGCGUUGCACGCGCAGUUUGGAGGGCAGUGAAACUUCAAGAGCUCUUGGCCCACUUGAUUCUGGCAUUCACUUAUAUCACAAUCAUGACCACCCGGCUGUGGGAUGAGUUUUCUCUUGCAAUCUUUAUACGCUGUCGCACCUACUCCCUCCGUUCCUAAAUACUUGUCUUUCUAGAGAUUUCAACAAGUGACUACAUACGGCGCAAAAUGAGUGAAUCUACACUUUAAAAUAUGUCUACACACAUCCGUAUGUUGAGUCCAUUUAAAAUGCCUAGAAAGACAAGUACUCCCUCCGUUCCUAAAUAUUUGUCUUUUUAGAGUUUUAAAUGGACUACCACAUACGGAUGUAUAUAGACACAUUUUAGAGCGUAGAUUCACUCAUUUUGCUCCGUAUGUAGUCACUUGUUGAAAUCUCUAGAAAGACAAAUAUUUAGGAACGGAGAGAGUAUUUGGGAACGGAGGGAGUACAAGAUAUCGGCAUGAAAAGAACAUGGGUCACACAUCAUGGCCAUAAUUUGAUAAAUGAGUUUGUGUGAUAUGCAUUAUAGAGAAGAAAAUGGGCACCAUAUGUUAACAGAAGGAAGGCGAGGACCAGGAGUUGAGUCACAGUACCGGUUCUCCUCAUUUUUGCCGUCUUAUGGCGUUGAUAUCUACUGUUGUUGAUGGCUACGAAACUUUAGAGCUGUUUAGGAGAACAAAUAAGAUGGCAAUCUUUUUAUAGAGGGCUUCAUAUCAAUACCAUUACCAUUAUUUGGAAAGACAUUUACUAUUGGAUAUUGUAUACCAAAAAAAUAAUUAUGGAGUAUCAAAUAAGUAAUACUAAUACCAUUAUUGGAAAGAAAUUUAUUAUUGGAUAUUGUAUACCAAAAAAAUAAUUAUGGAGUAUCAAAUAAGUAAUACUACUACCAUUAUUUGAAAACACAAUAUUAUUGGAUACCAAUACCAUUAACAUUAUUUGAAAAACACAAUAUUAUUGGAUAUCAAUACCAUUAACAUUAUUUUGAAACACAUUAUUAUUGGAUAUCAAUACCAUUACCAUUAUUUUGAAACACAUUAUUAUCGCCCAAUGCGCUUGCCAAGAAAAACUUACACCACACACCCACAACUACCGAGCCCGUUGGUGAUCGAGCCUGCCACUGUUACUCUAUGCAAGCAGCAGAACAACACGAUGCAGCGAAAGAACUCUAGCAGCGGAACAACGAUGACGGUGGUGAACUCCACUCCGCAGGGACUCUGGCUAGAACGCUUAUCCCAGCUCGCACGAACAGAAACCACGACAAGCAAGCAAUCAAAUCCGGAAUGACCUGCAAGCUGGCAUGACACGCCAGGUCAGUACAUUGAAUGUACUUGCAAGCUCACAAUAACCAGAAGCAUUCAAGACAGACAACAACAUGGCAAUUACAGGUUAAACAGGAAUUAUCAUGAUAUCAUCAAAACAAUAUAGCAUGAACAAGAUGAACAUGAUACGGCUAACAGAACAUGAACAUGGAAUGAACAUAUUAAUCCGACAAUACUAGCAUGCAACAUGAUGACACUAUCAUGCACUACUUAUUCUGCUCGGGUUACCUCGUAACCAACACAUGCAUCACUUACCAACCUCGGACAUCACACGAUCAUCUCAGGAUCAAAUCAAGCUUGGUAUAAACAAUACCGUAGUAAUCAUUAAAUGGCCACAAGGAGCUUGAUCUUUACCCACGAUUCUCGCACAACAUCACGAAUAUCCAACGACUCGGUAUCCUCAAUACCACCAUGAUCCUUACGGUGAUCACAACCACGACCAACACUUGGUCUCAAACCAUGAUCCUUACGACGAUCACAACCACGACCAACACUUGGCCCCAAACCGUGAUCCUUACGGCGAUCACAACCACGAGUUGUCAUUAAUCAAGUUAUUCUUAUUACUGUUGACUCAUGGUGUACCCUACUUUCGAACUGGGCCCUUAUCCGUGGGCGCGGCUAUCGAUAGAUUUAACAUACACUCUGCAGAGGUUAGUACACUGUACCCACACUACGGAACCCAUGGCCUCGCACUCCCAUUCGGGUGGACCAACGGCGUUCCGACAAAACCGUUCUAUUGCCAUGACACUCUCCCGGCCACUCCGACUCACUCCCCACUGGGCUAAGUCAUGGGUGGCCCCGUGUCUACCUCAAGAUACCUCAAUCCACCGCCGUGGCCCAAAACAAUAAACCGUCCCAAACGGGGACAUGUGCACAUAACAACAACAAUGGGAACACAAGUCUUAUGUCCGCCUACCUGAUCAAGGUAUCGCGCGCCCAUAACCUUCCCUCGUUAGAGGCACCGGCGAGAGGCGCGACAAUAGACCCAGUUAGGACCGUCCCAUACCGGUAAGCGUGGUUGCACUGGUCAGCAUCAUUUCAAUGGCACCAUGACUCAACCAACAGUUAUUCAAGUUCAAUUUAAUCCGGUUAACUUGAAUGCAAAUAUGCUGAGCCAUGAUAAAAUGCAUGAACAUGAUAUCAACAUAAUCAUGAGGGUAUCACAUAACUACCCACCAUAUCAACAAUAAUUCAUAUCCACUGAGCAUGGCAUACUGACUAGCAUGACCAUCACCAACAUCAACAUGUACUACUAGCAAGCAUAAACAUAUGAAAGGAAAUACUAGCAGGUAGAACAUGAUAACAUAGUACAAGACAACCUAGCACAAAAGUGAACAUGCAAAUCUAAACAUCACCGGAACAACGAUAACCAUCUUUUCAACAAGCAAAUAUUUAAUAAAGAUUCAAGUUGAAAACCGUGGCUACUGCAUGACUAUUAUGCAAGUGGGUAUUGUGGUUUCCUGGGGUGGAAGAAAUCACUGGGAGAAGCGCGAGAAAAUCGCGGAACGAAUCGCCGGAAAACAUACUCUCUUGGAGGGGGCCGAAUAAGGGCAAGGGCAUAAUGGUCAUUUUCACAGUGUCAAACCAUAGUGAAUGGAUGGCCAACAGAACGGGCUCGACGAAACAAAGAAGUAGGCUUUGGAAUCACCUCAUUUGGAGUUACGGAUAAAAAGAUACGGACAUUUAAAACUCAGGGACUAAUCUGUAAAAAUACUUCUACAAACAGGUCCCUGGCAGUUUUAAACCGAACGCGUCUUUCUGAGAAUAUGCCUUCAAAUCAGGAAAACGGCUUCGCGCCGGGGCUCCUCCACUUAUCCACGUGGCGCUGACCAGUCAAAGAGGCAGCAGCGGGGCCGGGCGCCUGGGUCGCUGCCAGGUGGGGUCACGGGGCCCGCCUGGCCAGGUCAACGCCCCACAUGGCAGGCUCCUUCUCCAGCUGGAUGCGCGCCGGGCCGAGGGGAGGCGACCGCCCCGACGGCGCUCGCAGGUGUGUCCGGCCACGGCAGGCGACGGGCGACCUACCCACGAGAUCGGGAGGAGGAGGCGCACCCCGGGGUAGUAUCCGUUGCCGGCGACGAGCACUGGAGAGGGAGCAGCAGGGGCCGCUGCGGAGAGGAGCUUCGGCCUCGGGAAAACUAGGGCUCCNNNNNNNNNNNNNNNNNNNNNNNNNNNNNNNNNNNNNNNNNNNNNNNNNNNNNNNNNNNNNNNNNNNNNNNNNNNNNNNNNNNNNNNNNNNNNNNNNNNNNNNNNNNNNNNNNNNNNNNNNNNNNNNNNNNNNNNNNNNNNNNNNNNNNNNNNNNNNNNNNNNNNNNNNNNNNNNNNNNNNNNNNNNNNNNNNNNNNNNNNNNNNNNNNNNNNNNNNNNNNNNNNNNNNNNNNNNNNNNNNNNNNNNNNNNNNNNNNNNNNNNNNNNNNNNNNNNNNNNNNNNNNNNNNNNNNNNNNNNNNNNNNNNNNNNNNNNNNNNNNNNNNNNNNNNNNNNNNNNNNNNNNNNNNNNNNNNNNNNNNNNNNNNNNNNNNNNNNNNNNNNNNNNNNNNNNNNNNNNNNNNNNNNNNNNNNNNNNNNNNNNNNNNNNNNNNNNNNNNNNNNNNNNNNNNNNNNNNNNNNNNNNNNNNNNNNNNNNNNNNNNNNNNNNNNNNNNNNNNNNNNNNNNNNNNNNNNNNNNNNNNNNNNNNNNNNNNNNNNNNNNNNNNNNNNNNNNNNNNNNNNNNNNNNNNNNNNNNNNNNNNNNNNNNNNNNNNNNNNNNNNNNNNNNNNNNNNNNNNNNNNNNNNNNNNNNNNNNNNNNNNNNNNNNNNNNNNNNNNNNNNNNNNNNNNNNNNNNNNNNNNNNNNNNNNNNNNNNNNNNNNNNNNNNNNNNNNNNNNNNNNNNGAGGAAGAAGACGAGCUCACGGGCGCGCACUGCUCGACCCUUGGCACGGCUCAUCGGAGAAGAAAAUGGAGGGGGGGGGGGGCGGGGUCCAGGCGAACGGCGACAAUGAUGCAGAGCUACUAGACAUGCGGGGACGAGCCAAAUCCAGCUGGAGCAACGAUGCCGAGGCCAACAGUGGCUAGACCACCGUUUUGGCUGGCUGCCCUCGUGGUCACCACUGGCAUGGUGCACUCUGGAGGUUUUACUGAGGCCAGAUUAUGUCUACCACGUAGUCCUUCAAAGAUAGAUUGUUACUACGGUAAAGGUUUGGGCAGAGACAAAUGGAGCUGAGUAAACCAUGCUCCACAAGUUUGCUGUUGCAAACUUGGCAACAUCCUAGAGGUAAAACCAAAGAGUUUGAAUGGUAAAUUUGAUGUCUGGGAGGCUUAGGGUAGAAAGGACUACAGUCCUGGGGGGUUUGAGGGUAAAUGGAUCAAGAUUUACUGCAGUUGCUUCACAACUGACCAAAAUGGUCCAGAAACUAGAUCAUGAUGAUGCUCUCACAUGGAGUUAUGAAAUGAGAUGCAGCUUGGCAAAUACUCAUGAUAUGGACAUAUAAAGAUUCUGUAAAAAGCUCAUGCCAAAUGGACAAGCCAAAAUGGCACUUGCUUCACAAACAUCAUUUCUGUCCAGAAACUUGGAAUAAUUAUGGUGAUCAAAUGGAUCAAUUAAAUGAUGCAAAAAUGGGUGGAGAGAUGUUUCAUGGGUAUAAGAAUGAUCUGGUAAUUUAUCAGGAUUUUUGAAGCAAUACAAAAUGCACUCGCUUCACAACCUGAAAAUAUUGCCAUAAUCAAAGAUUUGCUCCUAUGCUCACAUAGAUGAUUUUAUGGGACUGCAAAUUGGUGGAGGGGGUUAAUAUGAGCACAUUAAAGAGUGUGCAAAAUUUCAACUCAUUUGGGUACUCUUAGCUAGUACUUCCUUCACAAAGCCUUCUGUUUGACAGAAACUUUGAAAAAUCACUGAGGAAGAUUGACUAGGAAAAUAAAGUUUAACUUGUGCAUGAGGCAAUUAUUCGGACAUAUAAACAUUCCCAAAAAGGAUGGGAGCCACUAGGAAAAAUAUAAAUGACACUUCCUUCACAAAGGGCCAUUCAGGGCAGAAUAGAAAAAGGAAUAUUGGGGAAUUACUUUUGAACAUGGCAAUGAAUAGUUUUGCCAUAUUUGAUCAAGAUAUGACCCAAACAAUUUAUGAGAAUUAUUUGGGAAUUUUUGGAGUGAUGGAAAUAUAGGUUGCUUCACAACCUAGGGCAAUUUGAGUUAUUCCUUUAAUAGAAAAGGAAUAUUCCCAAUAAAAAGAAUAUUGGGAUUUGGGCUAGGAUGAAAAUGACAGGGUCUAGGAGAGGAUUUAGUAAUGACAAGCCACUCUGGAAGCAAAGAAGAGGUCAUCUUCUUCAGUUUCCAGACCACAAAGCCACGAAAAAAAAGAAAACUCAGGCAAAAACCUCGGAAAAACAAAAGGAAAAGAAAGGGCCAAAAAUCAGGCUGUCAUAGUAGUGUCAAAAACCGUCUUACAUUAUGGGACGGAGGGAGUACUACACAAAGUUACCUAUCUCUCACUUUCUCUCCUUUCGUAAAUAGACUAAACCAAGCUUUGUUUGGUGAAAUACAUGACCAAUCGCACGAGGGACAAGACGGGAGGUUGGGCAGUUCUGCACCACCCCGGUCGCCACAGCUCAGCCCCGCGUCAAUCAAAGUGACCAAAGAUCUAAGUGCAGUGAACAAGUUAUAAAUUUUUCUCUUGAGAGUAGAAAAUGAAACCACUGGAAACAAAACGCUUGACUACCAUGAAUCAAGUUUCUAGUAGUGAACUAUUUUGCAAAAAAACAACUACGUUUGCUACCAUAGUAUAAACAAAAAUUUGGCUUCGGAACAAAAACUGCAAGUUGGUGAACAAUAUACUUAACUAUCAUGAACAGAAAAAAAUAUGUGAAUGUGAAUACAUUUUUUAAGUAGAGUGGACAAAUUUCAACAUGAAAAGAAAAGGAAAUAAAACUAUAAAGAACGGGAGGUUGGACUGUGGCGGACAAUUUUUUUCUUACUGCAAUGAACCAACAUUUUAAGUGUAAUGGAUACAUUCUUUAAGUAGACCGAACCAAAAUUUUGACUUCAACACCAAAAUUUAAAUCAUGAUGAACAAAAACUAUAACCGCACUAUGAACAAUAAAUUUUGGACGCCGAUGCCGCACGACUUGUUCGGUACGAGGGGAUUGAUCCCCCCGCAUGAAUUCAUUCGGCAGGGGGAAUCCAUAGCCCACAGGCCUCCAUCACACCAGACCCUUUCCCUGUGAAAAAAAGGAACAUAAAACCCGCUGACGGCGAAUUAAAUGAAAAGACCCAGAUUAUUUUUCCGUGACAAAUAGAAGCCCAGAUUUUGCUCGGCUACUAAAAAAUGCCAUCAUCUUUAAAAAGCAUCAAAAUGAAAAAAAAAAUCCAAAAAUGCCAUUCAAGAUUGACCAAACUAUUUGCCAUUAUAUUCUUUUUUUACAAUGGCAAGGUUUGUAAACACAUAUUUGAUUCCCCAAUAAAGCAUGGCAAAUCUGCCAUGACAAAAAAAAAAU
rnacentral:lncRNA from 1 species